AACACUAGUCUUUGUCUUUGUAUCAUCAAAACCAUGCUUCAAACUAUAUGCUCUAUAAUACACAUGUUUGGUCAAAAGAAAAUGAUGUUCAUACUCUCUCUCUCUCUCUCUCUCGCUAUAAAUAGAAGUGACCAUAACAUAGCAGAUUAGGAAUGCGAUACCAAAGGAGGAUUUGGGUCUAGAAAUGGAGAAGAUGAAGCAAAGCAACGGAGGAGGAAGACAACAGGGAAUCGAGCAGCGACACUGCGUUCCAAUUCACAGCCAAGUCAGGAAGAUCAAACAAGAGGAUGAGAAGAUGGAGGACCACCUUCGGCCGAAGAUGUUCGAGAGGAGGCCGGCCGUGUUCCAGGAGCUGAGGAGGCAGCGCUCGCGGUCGCCGCUGGGAAUGGUCAGUCGAGAGAUUUCGGUGGGGGAGUAGCAUUAGAUCGACUGCAAACUUCUAAAUCUUCUUUCUGAGUUCUCUCUCUUUUCCCAACUUAUGAUCGACUGUAAAUAGUUAUGUAGGAUUUCAACUCGUUUCAUGGUUUCUAUGUGAUCAUAGGUGACAUGUUUUAUGUCAGGUUUUUGAUUUAUCUCAAACGUAAGUUGAAUCAAAAACCUUAAUAAGAUCGUUUUUAUCUUAAAGAAUAAACGAUGAAAGUGGAUUUCUAAUAAAAUCUUGGGGGUCGGAUGAGACUUCGAUCGAAUCCUCAAUCUUUAAUGAGUGAAUUUGAUAUCACUAUCAAAAUAAUAUUUUAGAUGAAUGAUGUUUUAAAUUCACUCCGUUGUUGAUAAGUGAGUUUAGAAUGAUACCACUAAAUUAAUGUUUUUUAGGUGUAAUAAAUGUUGAUGACAAUGAAAACUUUUAGGAUGCAAAUAUGAAUCAUCAACUGUGUGAUUAUCAAUGAUUUAUUGAUAACAAAUAUUAUGUAAUUAUCAAAAGAAGAAAGUCAAUCUGAAGAAUUCUUUUUUUUUCCAAUGGAUAUGCUAAUUAGAGGUUUAUUGAUGAUAGAAUCCAAUAAACAAAAUCUACUCUCCUUGACACAAAAGAACAAAUUGCUCCAUCUUACAAAGAGGAGAGAGACUGGUAUUAUGAGUGCCUUCAUACAAGAGUUCCAUGACUGUACAAUCAUAUCAAUAUUACUCUUGCAUCAAUGAAAAGCGAAGACUUUGGUAUGCAUCACCUCAUUCUGAUCAUUAGAAAAUUAAUGUUAAAUUAACAUCUGAUUAAGAACUAGAUUUUUGAAUUGAGAAAUAGCUUGAACAUCAAAUUUAGUUAUUUUUAAUUAAAAAAAGAUAAGAGUAACAUGUUCAGAUGUCCUCUAAAUUACAUAUCUAAAAUGAAAUGGAGAAAUGUAAGUCCUAAAAAGGACUUGUUACAGAAAACACCCAAAUGAUAAUUAAAGCUAAUACACUCGUUAUGUUGAUUCCUAUGGCUGCACUGCUUGAAGAUGGUGCUGAAAACAAGAAACAAUUAGUUUCUUAGCAUUCCUCUAACAUUGAAUUUGCAACAACAUACAUAAGAAAUUAAACCACUUUCCUAAUAUCAGAAUAAGUUAUUCUUGCUCAUCCAAUACAUAGCUGAAGAGAUAAAUGAAAAGGCCAAUACAUUGCGACAAUACUAAUCAAUCUGACUUGACUUGGAGAACAUGCACAGAAAUUUGUAGUUUAAUAAAUUAUGAAUGUAAAUUAUCAUUCAGAUGAGUUCAUUUAUGCGUCUCAAGUAGUUUUUUUUCCAAAUAGCUAAAUUAAUUCGUGUAUAUCUUUCAAAUUCACUUGAAGCUUUUAUAUUUCCAAUCAUUAUUAUUAAGAUAAAAGUCACUAUUAAGAUACCAUUUUAAUGACGUCCAAGCAAUAUUAUGAAAUUAAUCAUCAUGGCUUGUCGAAGUUUCACAAUGGCUAAGAUUCUAGAGAUUUGCCUUGUUCAUUAUCUCCAUAACAAGUAUGCAAUUAUGAGUGAAGAGCAAGUAAAUGCAUAAGCUGAGCUAUAACAAGCCAACUUUGAUUUAAAAAACACAAAACAAAAAUCCAUUUAAUUCCAAAUCAAGAUUAUUUGGAUCAAGUGCUAUUAGCAAAAGUUGACUAAAGUAAAAAAAUAUAAUGCACAUUAAAUUCUUAAUGGAUGUGUCUGAUGCAUAAAAAAAAUACACAUGCAUGUACACACACAUACAUACAUACAUACACACACAUACACACACACAUACAUACAUACAUACAUACAUACAGACAUAGNNNNNNNNNNNNNNNNNNNNNNNNNNNNNNNNNNNNNNNNNNNNNNNNNNNNNNNNNNNNNNNNNNNNNNNNNNNNNNNNNNNNNNNNNNNNNNNNNNNNNNNNNNNNNNNNNNNNNNNNNNNNNNNNNNNNNNNNNNNNNNNNNNNNNNNNNNNNNNNNNNNNNNNNNNNNNNNNNNNNNNNNNNNNNNNNNNNNNNNNNNNNNNNNNNNNNNNNNNNNNNNNNNNNNNNNNNNNNNNNNNNNNNNNNNNNNNNNNNNNNNNNNNNNNNNNNNNNNNNNNNNNNNNNNNNNNNNNNNNNNNNNNNNNNNNNNNNNNNNNNNNNNNNNNNNNNNNNNNNNNNNNNNNNNNNNNNNNNNNNNNNNNNNNNNNNNNNNNNNNNNNNNNNNNNNNNNNNNNNNNNNNNNNNNNNNNNNNNNNNNNNNNNNNNNNNNNNNNNNNNNNNNNNNNNNNNNNNNNNNNNNNNNNNNNNNNNNNNNNNNNNNNNNNNNNNNNNNNNNNNNNNNNNNNNNNNNNNNNNNNNNNNNNNNNNNNNNNNNNNNNNNNNNNNNNNNNNNNNNNNNNNNNNNNNNNNNNNNNNNNNNNNNNNNNNNNNNNNNNNNNNNNNNNUAUAUAACUAGUUCAUGAAAGACCAUUUACCUUUAGGAGUUGAGGUUGGAGGCGAUGAAGCAUGAGGUGGGAUGGGAUUUGGUUUUGGAGCAUCUGCAGAAGUCAUGAAAAAGUUUAAUAGAGCAUAUAAGUAUACUAAUUGUAUUAGUGAUCACCAAGUUACUUAAGAAAAACAUCUUUUAUUCUUAUUUCACACUUGGAGUUUAGAAUCCCGGAAAUGAUCGCUUUGUUUAAUUUUGAUUAAUAUUUACAGUAAAAAUUACAAUUGUGUACAAUAAACAUUGUCAUCUCCUAAUUAUUUGCUAUCAUUAUGUACUAGAAUAUUUAGUAUGUGAAAAAGGAAAGAGAUAAAUCUGAAACCUGAGAAAGAUAUUUUUAGAUAAUCCAUGAUUUUUUUUUUGCGGUUUUUGCCAAGUUAUUGGGCAUAAAAGAGUUUGGGAGAAUCCAACAAAACUAAUGCUGGAUUUGUCAUGCAGCAAUAGGUAUGGUCAAAUCAAAUUAUUUGGUUCAAAAGUUUCUUUCAGGGCAAUUGAACUCUAGAUGGUAUAAGAUCUGUCAGAUAUGGAAAGACCUAUAUUAAAAGCUUAAUUGUGGGAUGGGAUUUAUGGCCUGCCUUAAUUAUGAAUGAAUUUGGAACGAGAAUCGAAAGAUUGUAUUUGGUGGAAAAUGAUUUCCUUUCUCUGACUAUAGAGAUCUAAUGAGAUUAAAAUGGAAAGAGUGGAUUAUAUAGGAAUCCAUUUGGUGGAAAAUAAUUUCCUUACUUUAUUCUCUCUUUGUUUAGAUUAAACCCUCAUAUUUUUCUAUCCAUGUCCAAAUCUAUAUAUUCAAAUCUACCCCUUUUUUUGGACAGGAAUAUUGAACUUACCAUUUUUUAGGAUUCUUGAACAAAGAUGUACCUAUACAUUUCUUGACUUAUUUAAGGGGGCAUGAACUCACCCACUGCAUGUUUGCCACAUCUCCAUAUGAUAUUAUAUAGAUCAAACAUACAAACAAGAAUAAAAGACUAUAACCAUUUUUUUAAUUUUUAGUUAAAGCAAAUUAUUGACAAGUCGAUUUCAUAUUAGGUUAAAAUCUACAAGUAUCCAAACAUCAUUUAAGUUUAUGCAAUGGCAAAAGAGUUAGAAACACUGUAUUAGGAAUCCAAUAACAAUAGCAAAUCUUCGAGGGGAAGAGCUAAUAAUCUACCUGAAGAGAACUUGCACUUAGUAACGUCCGGCGCCUUCAAUCCGCAGCGCGGGGGAAACCCCAGGAUUUGGGACUGCGAGAUGUUGAGCGACUCGAGGAGAUGGUCGUCGAAGAAGAGUUUGCAGAGGCAUUCGAUUUCCUCAUCCAACGCGCUCCCCAGGGGGACGCAGCAGGCGGCGGGCGGCUUCUCCUGGGACCGCAGGUAGUCCAGGCAAGGCAGUAGUUUCCUCACGCACGGAGGCACGCCAACGUCGGUGUCGCCAUCGGAGACCCCCAUGGAAGCCCACAGAGAGAGCACGAAGAGGAAGCAGAGGAGGCCCUUGUUGGACGCCAUUAAGGGUCUAUCGAAAGGUCUCCUGUGCAGCAGCAGAAGAACGACACACUUACGUUUAUAUAGAGGUUGUGAGAGGGGGAAAAGGUUAUUAUUAUUAUUAUUAUUAUUAUUAUUAUUAUUACCCUUCUAAUAUUAAUUAUUAUUCAUAUAUACCGUUUUCAGUUACAUGCAUCCUUCACAGCGUUAAAGAAAAAAAAAGGAUAUUUAAUUACCUAAAAACGACUCUAAUAUCAACAUUGAAUUGUAGAUGCUGACGUAGAAUACUAUUAUAUUAUAUAAUUAUUUAUUAUUAAAAAAAAUUACCAACUAAACUAAAAAAACAUUUCCAUUAUUAUUGUUAACAUUUAACUUAAUCUACAAAAUAGUAAAGAAAUCAUUUGUGUAUUAGUGAAAUCAAUAUUAGGUAUUUCUUGAAAUGUGCACGUGAUUUGAGCUACGUUACGUGGAGUAAUAUUUCUUGAUAUUUUUUCCUUAGCUUUUGAACUAAAUGUAAGUAGAUUUAUUUUCAUUCCCAGGAAUGAAGACGAUAUUUGUUCUUGGCUCUCUGAUCGAUUUGCCAAUCACCUGCGGACAAAUAUAAUUAUUAUUAUAUAUUUCAAUAAUUAUGAGGUUUAUUUAGGAUCAAGCGUAGUUAUUAGAAUCUAAGAGUAAAAAAGAAAAAUGUUUUAACAUAUAUUUUGGAUGUAAUCUCUCUACUCAUUCGAGGAAGGAACUCCUUUCAUAUCUUUAUAUUUGAACAAAAUUUCAUAUAUAUAUAUAUAUUGAAUUAGUUAGGGUUAUGAACAUUUGAAUAUCUCCUAUUACAUAUUUUUCAUCUUUAUGGUAUUAUAUCGAGGAUAGAAUGUUGCGAGCUACAUAAAAUCAUUUUGGUUAGAAGUGUUAAUUAUACUUAUGAGAUACUUAUGACACACAUUCGUAAUUGAUAUUAUUAAUUAGACUUGAUAGUAAUUUUUUUAAUUAUUAUUAUUUGAUAGUAAUUUUUCAUUAUCCACAUAGAUAUAGAGCGAGGAUGGAUAUAAUAUCCCUUAAGUUGUUUAUUUAAUAUUUAAUAAUAAUUAUUAUUUAUAAAAUUGAUAUUAUUAAUUAGAUUUGAUAAUAAAUUUUUAAUUAGGAGAAUAUAAAAAAUUAUUGAAUCCUUUGUGUACCUUGGAAAGAUAAAAACAAAAUGUGGAAGAGAAUAAAUAUUUGUUUGGAUGUUAUGGAUUUGAAAGUAAUUUUAUAUGUAUACGUGAAAGUAUGAUGCGCUCCGGUGAGAUGAUUCGGAGUGAUGUGAGAGUGCAUGAACUUGGAGACGCAGAUAUAAUUCCAAGGAACAUCUUAUCGUCACCGAUGGCAGUUUGGUCCGGUAGAACAGUGCGUGCGAUAAAGUAGCCGAAAGCAAGGGUUUCAUGUAAUCCGUCGAAUCGAUUCCAGGGCGUUUGAUGCGCUUGGUUCAUUCCAUCACUCCACCUGUUGACCCGCCCAAGCUCGAGUCCUCGCUCCCCCCCACCUUGUCUUCCUCCACUCCUCUUCGUCUCUGCUGGCGAAAGCUCUCGGCGAUGCAACGAGCGAAACAAGAAGCGUAGCGAGAACGGCAACCUCCGGUUUGUUCCGUGCGAUGGAUGCGAUCGGGUGCUGUUCGGAGGAUUUCUGGUGAUGAGCCCCCUCUGAACCCCAGUUAAUGGAGGCGAACCAUCGAUCCUCGAGGCCUCUCCAGCUCCACCCCGCUCGAGUCGCUGUCGUCGAUCUCUUCAACCUCUAUCUAGGCGUAACCUACCUAACCAAAUACUCUCACUCUCUCGGUCUUUUUUGUUUCUAGGUCCAUCGAUGGGCUCUCUCCUUCUGAUGGAUCCUUUUGUUUGCAGAGGAACGGCCGGCAGAGAUCGGAAGACCGGUCUCCCGAGGCCUCGUAAGUUGAAAUUAUACCCUUUCUUACAAAGAUUCGAUUUAUGGUCAGCGUCUUUGAGGCAACACUGAAAUAAAUGGAAAUGAGGAUAUCGAAUAUGGCCUAGGGCUUUACUAGGAGUUAGCUAAACUCUUGGUCGCUUAUGGUACUUUAUGGCGACGAAAAUAAAAUAUCGUGAAAUGAUGUUUCAUGUACGAGGAAUUAGGAGUCAAACAUUCCUUUUAACGUAUUUGGUCAGUGAUACCGCUGUUUGUAGUCAAAAAUAGGCAAUUGGGUGAGUGGGUUUUGCUAGAUCUUUAAUGUUGUUUGUGCGUGUGUUGGGGUGUAUAAGUGCUUUAGUUUUAUACAAAUUAUGACUUUUUUGAUGAGUGAUUGGUGCUGUUUGGUGCUAGCAAUGGCCAUUUUGUGCUAAAAUUUCAGCAGGAAGAUUCUAGGGUAUACAAAAUUCUUUUGGUAAUUCAUCAAAUAUUUUCUUCUUUUUUCGUUCUAGCCUGAGCUUUUCUUAAGAUAGAGCAGAUUCAUUAACUGUCGUAGUGGUUAAUGUGUUUUUGGUUCUGGUUAUGAUGUUGUAUUGGUUUGGCUGAUUUUGUGGUUUAUGUCUAUGUUAGAAACAAAUUACAGAAGAGGGUCACUGCUCCUCACGGGGAGCUUCCACCGCGUGAUGAACAGUUUAUAUUGGAUUUUGAGCAGUUGCAGGGUCAAUUUCCAGUAUGUAUCAGAAUCUUUCUGCUACCUUUGCAAAUGAUUUUGUUUCGUUGACAAUGACUUGUAACUAACUGUGCUUGCACUAUUGCACUUCAGGAUCCGGAGCAACUGCGUACAGCCACAGAAACAGUUAUUAUGUCUCUUGUUGUGCAGUGCAGCAGUCAUGCACCUCAAUCAGAAUUUCUUCUUUUUGCGAUACGGAGCUUGUGCAGCAUAGGCUAUCUGAAAUGGGAUACAUUCCUUCUUUCACUCCUUUCUGCAGUUUCCGCUGCAGAGGCAACACUUGCGCAGGGUACUCCAGCGACACCAGGUGUGUUGUCUACUGGGUUGUCAUCAUCUUUAAUGAUGUUUUCACUUUUCACCAUCUACCGCUACCGUGUCAUCUGCUCUGAACCUCCAUGCUUCUAAUCCAGCAUCUCCAUUAGCAACUAUUCAUGGGGUCAGCUCUCCUGCCCAAUCUGCUACUGAUCAAUCUGCUGGGGCAACUCUUUCACCGGUUAAACCAUCUGAACUCUCUGGUUCUGGGCAUCAGAGUAUAACAAGGUCCGGUCAGAUGACAAGAGGAACUGCUAUGGGUUCUCUCCGUCAAUUCUCAUGCAAGAUUAUCUUAGCUGGACUAGAAUUCAAUCUAAAGCCAAUUACGCAUGCAGAGAUCUUGAGUCAGAUGCUGAAUUGGUUGGUUAAUUGGGAUCAAAAGCCUGUGGGAUCAGAUGACAGUGAUGGCAAGAAGGUCUGGAAGCCUGAGAGGCCUGUGCAUGAAUGGAUGCAUACAUGCUUAGAUGUUAUAUGGAGGUUGGUGGAUGAAGAUAAGUGCCGCAUUCCCUUUUAUGAGCUUCUUCGCAGCAACUUGCAAUUCAUGGACAAUAUUCCUGAUGAUGAGGCAAUGUUUGGCAUCAUUCUGGAAAUUCACAGGAGAAGAGAUAUGGUUGCCAUGCACAUGCAAAUGUUGGAUCAACAUCUUCACUGCCCUACCUUUGCCACUCAUAGGUUCAUGUCACAAUCCUAUCCAAGUAUAACCGGUGAAUCAUUGGCCAAUGUUCGUUAUUCUCCCAUCACUUAUCCUAGUGUUUUAGGAGAACCAUUGCAUGGAGAGGUGAGAAAUCUGCUUUUUGUUUCAGUAUAAAAUCAUGCAUUUUGUAUCUUGUUUGCAGCAUAACAUGCUGCUCUAUGCUUGCAAACACGUCUCUUUUUUAUCUCAAUUUUCUUUGUGGUUGUCCUAUCAGAGAUGGGAAAAAGAAGAAUUCAUACAAUUGAUGAAUCUUGUUUGAUGCCUACUUGUUUUCUUGUGAUUGGUCUAAUUGAGGUUCUUUACCAUGUGCUAAAUUAAAAUUGAAGAUCUGGUUUUUAAAGAUUCAACAGCAGACCAAAAAUGUCAGACCAUCUAAUCAUAAAACCCUGACAUUCUGUGAGACAGUAUGACUUGUAGGUUUGACACCUAUGCUUAAUUUGUUAUGGCAAAAUGCUAUGUGGAUUUCAUGUCAUACUCUUUAGUAUGAUGAGUUAGCAUCUAAGAGCAUAUUUCAACUGUGUCGGGAGUAGGAAUUAGGACAUUGAGUUUUAUGGGGAGCACAUACAUAAAGGCAUAAAAUACAACUUCAAGGAUCUUGUCAACUGAUUUUUAACUUGUUGGAAGUAUUAAGCUAUAAAGUUGAAUUAGGUGAUAGGAUUUCACAUAAGAAAGAUGAAAUAGUUUGAAUUUCAAGGGUGAUUUGUUGCCCACAAUAAAAAAUUAAUGGCAAACAUAUGUUGCACGGUUGCAUCUACAAUUGUUUGAUUUCCUAUGAAUAGAUUUACACUCGCAAUUCAUUAUCUUAAUUCUUUGGACUUUUGCAAAUUGGAUGAAUAGGGAAUGCAUACUGAUAGAGUGAAGUUACCCUUCUUCUCAAUAUGUCAAGAAAAAGAGUAGGAAUUGGGUUCAUUGUUGAGAAGGGAGAAAGAUAGGGGUAUAGGGAAUAUGGAUGCAGAAAGUUUGGAGGAGAAGAGAGAGGAUUAGGAAGAAGUGGGGUUUGUUUUGUAGGUACAACCCUCUUAGUUAACUUACCAAAUUGCAUCCCACCUGAGGAGCAAGUUAUCAAACAUCGCACAAGGUCGAAAUAUUGCAUGCGCAAGUCUAGGGACCGUAGAUUCCGGCAACCAUACUUCCCUUGUUUUCUUGUGUCGUUGAGAAAUAAAAUUGAAUGUUUUCUGGAAAUAUUUGAACAUUCUAAGAUGUAUGGUCUGGAUCUAGCAAUUAUAUUAAUUUGAUGAAAUUGAAAAGUUUCAAGAGUUCAUGGUUGUCGAUCAAGGGUUUUCAUGAUGUCUCAAAGGAGCUUACUGUUUGGAGGGUUUCAGUAAUAUUUGAAAGAUAAUAUGAUUGGAUGAUAGUCUCUGCCAAAAGUCUUCAAAUUUUGAUCUUACAUGUUAAUUUCUAUAGGUGGAAAUCUGACUCAGAUUACAUAUGUAAGAGUAGUGGAUUUUGUAAAACUUUUCUUGAGUGAAGCAUUGCUUAUGUAUAAAUGUUUGAACAGAUGAAAAUAAAACGAAAUGUCUUUUAUAGAUAUAUGUUUAAUACAUGAAAAAGGUAAGGUUAUAUAAGGAUAGGAAAAAUAAAAAAAGGUAGUUACAAGUAAAUAGUGUAGAAGAUAGUCAAGGUAUUAUAGAUUUUAUUGAAGUCAGUUAACUACUGUCUAUCUGAUUGUUGAACUAUCUUCUUAGGUUAUAUGGAAUUGUUCACCCAUCAAACAGCGUACUUUGGUGUCUUUAUUAGGUGCCUGACACAUUUACAGUGCCACAAGUGAUAGUUUAGAUGGGGACUGUGCUGAUGGUCUAUGAUUAUUUUCUUUUGGAGAGUAGGGAAAUUGGAAGAAUUGGAAGGAAUUACUUGAGUAAAACAUGUAGUGGCUGGUGCUGCUUACUAUGAGUUUUGCCUGGAGUCGGACCAAGUAUUUUCGUUUCUGUGGAACACUUAAAGAACACCUUAUUGCUGUAUGUAAUGCUAUAUUAUAUUUGCAAUUACUCUAACCAAUAGAUCAUGCUGAUCAGAUAUAUAAUUGGGAAAUAUAAAUCAUCAUCUUGUUGCAUUGAGACACAAGAAUAUCACUUUACUGUUGUCUUACAGCUUAUCUCUCCAAUUGACAGGAUCUUGCUACAUCUAUUCCCAAAGGGAGUUUGGACUGGGAACGUGCUUUGCGGUGUCUAAGACAUGCUCUUCGAACAACACCAUCACCAGAUUGGUGGAGACGUGUGCUUCUUGUUGCCCCUUGUUAUAAACCUCAAGCUACACAGGCAUCAACCCCUGGUGCUGUUUUUUCCCCUGAAAUGAUUUGCGAGGCUGUUGUUGAUAGAACAAUGGAACUAUUGAAGAUCACAAACUCAGGCAAUACUAUCAACUUGUAUUAUUUUGCAAACCCAUGAGUAAUUCAACAAGUAAUUGAUUUCCUUCUCUCCAGGUAUAAAACUUAGCAAUAACUUAAUAUAUCAGGCAAGGUUCAUCAUACCGUAACAUACUAUUCAAACUAUUCGUACGAGUAGUACAUAUCUGUCUGACAAGGGGCCGGUAUGAGUGGUUCAUACCGGUCUGUUAGUAUGUCCCAUCGUACCAUGUAUCGGUACGUUGGUAUGGUUUGAUAUGUACUGUAUCGACAGUUGGUCGGUACAUUGGUACAGACCAGGAAGGUGGACCAUAUUAUUAGGUGACAUGCAUAUUGGAUUAUGACUCUAAUAGCUUCUAAAGCAUGAGGAGCUUCUAUAGUUGUAUUUUCUUUUACACACUUCACAUAUAAAUAUUUUUUUUUAUUUUUCAAAUUCUUUGUUGUGCAUGUCAUGAUAUUGUCUCGAUUGGUACCUUGCUGCUGAAAUUUCAGUUUCAAUUGAGGACCAAAUUGUUGUCUUUAUUUCAGUUAUACUCACAUUGAAUUAUUGAGGAUUUUUUUUGACUGGUUUGAACAUUUAAUAUUUAAUUUUUAUGAUGGCAAGUGAGUGACUAUCUGCAUUGAGUUCACAAUUUUAUUAGUGUAAAUGUGUAAUAAUGAAAGAAAUACAGUAGAACUUGAAUAGUAGAUAUAUUUAGUUUUUUCAGUAUUUCCAUAAAAAAUGCUGCAUCUGGUUUAGAUUUUGUGCAUCUUAUGUCUUUAUAUACUUGUUGCUAGUUAUAUGUUAGGACUUUCUGUGCCUUAUAUUUUAUGCCACAAGUUCAUUAGUUUGUUCUGUCUCUUAUCAAGUUAUGCUAUUUGCACAUGCUAUAUCUAUCCAUACUUUUUUUGGUGGUUUUCAUGUUCUUGUUUGGCGUUGGCAGAAACACAGUGCUGGCAGGAGUGGCUUAUAUUUGCCGACAUAUUCUUCUUUCUUAUGAAGAGUGGAUGUAUCGAUUUUCUUGAUUUUAUUAACAAGAUUGCCUCUCGAGUCACAAAGGGUGACCAACAGAUUCUUCGCAGUAAUCAUGUGACGUGGCUGCUUGCGCAAAUUAUUCGCAUUGAGAUUGUGAUGUCUACAUUGAGUUCAGACCCAAAGAAGGUGGUUUUUGUGCAUAAGUCUGUUGUUCUCUGUAUUUUUUAAGUCUUGAAAGGAGUUAAUGCUUGUCUCCUUAUAUUUUUAUGUUAUCUUUUUUGCUUUUCUAAAAAAUAUUUUACUUCUAAAUUCUAAUACAACAAUUAUAGUUAAGAUUUUUAGUGUGCUUGCUGGAAUUCUGCAUCUCAUUGAAUGAAACCAACCUUUGGUAUGCCCAUGUUAGCUCAUAUUCAGUCACUUGCUUGGGCAUAUUGUUGAAAAGAUAAGGUCAUGCCUAUGCGCAUGGAACCAUGCUAUCGACAUUAAACCAAUAAAAUCUUGGAUGAUGUGGCAUACACAGAAUUAACUGUGCUUUCUUUAACUAUUGCCUAUAAUUAGUUGUAUACUUACUUUGGAGCAGAAAUGACAUGUACAAGUACUUUAUUCCAUGGCUUGUAGCGAUCUUUUCCAUUAUAUGUCAGGUUAAUCAGCAUGAUUUUUGGCCUUUUGGCCUUUUACUGGCCAUCUAGAAAUGUUAAUGCCAAAAUGCCUUGACACAUGAUCAGCAUUGUCUUGGUAAAAAGGUGUGGUUCAAGGACAAUGAAGUGCUCACAUGUAGAUGGUAGGAUAUAGCAUUUUAUGUGUUGCUUGAGCGUUCAAAUCUUUGUAAAACAGCUAUUGUUAAUUUACAUCUAUAUUUUAGGUUUAUAUUUUUCUGGUUCUUGUCAGGUGGAAACUACAAAAAAGAUCAUUUCAUUUCAUAAAGAAGAAAAAAAUAUUGAUCCAAAUAAUGUCAGUCCUCAGUCAAUUCUUUUGGAUUUCAUUAGUAGCAGUCAGACUUUGCGUAUUUGGUCUUUCAACUCUUCAAUUAGGGAAUAUCUUAACAAUGAUCAGCUUCAGAAAGGAAAGCAAAUAGAUGAAUGGUGGAAGCAAGUAAUCAAAGGUACUUCUGUUUAGAAGUGUGCUUGGAUGAAUUUAUUAAUUUUUUUUUCUAAUACUGAUGGUUAUUCACUUUUAUUUUCUAGUACUUCUAUUCCGAGGAUUAUUCAUCUUCUGUAUGCAAGACUUGGAGAAUGAUAUGUACACCUAAAGUCUAUUUUACAUGUGACGUUUUGAAGAUAAAAUGAGUUUUUUGUCUUUCAUAACCACACCUAUCAUCAGGAUGUCUUUCAUCUAUAGUUAUUUUUGAUUUCUGAAACAUUUAUGACAGGUUGAAGUCAAAUGAGGAAUUUUCAUUUUUUGUCAUUGGCAAAUAUUUGUGAGAAGGGUGCUAAUAAGGAAGGUUUAAGCCAUAUUUAUUCUCUCAUGGUUUUGUAGACAAUGUACAGAAGGCAACUGGCCCGAGCUACUUCAAGAAUUCUUUUGAGUUACUUCUCUCAUGCAACAUUGGAAAAUUUGCAGUUUAAUCUAUAUAAAAGUUGAAUGGCAAUCUGUUGGAUGUAUGAGAUAAAGCCUGAAAUUGUUUGAUGAUAUGAAUUGUUGGUGUGAAUGCACAAUAUUAUGCUAUUUGUGGAAUGAUUUAGACAUGGAUGUUGAACUAUAAGCAUGUCUCCAUGAACCAUGUAAAGUUUGAGUCAUAUAAAUAUGCAUUAGAAAAUAACUUGUCUUUUGCUAGUUGCAUUUAGGUAGAAAAGGAUUUGGUCUGGUUGCUGUAACAUUCUUAUUUUUAUUUAACAUGUCAAAUGAGUCUUUUAAAUCUAGGUAUGAUUCAAUUUGUGUAUUAACCACCUUGGACUACAGAUUUCUGUCUUUACGAUUUUAAUGUUCAUCAUUAUUUUGAGGAUUUCUGUCUUUAGGAUUUUAAUUUAAGUUGUAUUAAAUUAAGCUGUUCUGAACUUGUGGAGAUUGGGUUGGUGGAAUUUGUGGGAAUAUAUGGCUUAUGAUUCAGGGUCACAAAUUAGUUGCUGGGGCCAGAAUAGUUAUCACUUAGCACUGUAACUUGUGUCACUGGUCAAAUACCCAAAGAAAAGGUCCAGUUUUUUGGGAUUUUUUUGCAGCCAAAAUAGAGAUUCCAAAGAAGUUCUUGAAAAUUGAAAUAUAUACCUUGCGCUCUGUUCAGCUUCUUCUAUGGUCUCCCUUUAUUAUUAAUAGACAUUAUGCUCCUGCUUCUUGGGCUAAAAUUGCAACUCUUUGUUCUUUUAUAUUUGCUUCAGUUGUCUGUGUUUCUUUUGAGUUUUUCAUUUUAUGGAUGCCUUUAUUCCCUUCUUCUCUUCUUUUUUCUUGUUUUUACUCACUCUCGUGUUUAAUAUUGAUUCUUUCAAUUUUGUAGAAUAUUUUUUUUAAAAAAAAUUAGCAAAAACCUGUGACAUAAAUUAUUUGUAAUUUUGCUCAGAUUGUUUCUUUAAAAUAUCUGUUGUUUCAUGAAUAUAGCUAGAUAUUUAAUUUAUAUAUUUAAAAAACCUUACUACUAAUACUGUUAUAGAGCGUAAAUCUUUGGUGCUCUCUUUGUUGUAUUUACCAUGUUAAUGUUGUGUAGCUGGUCAUGAUUCUAUUAUGGACAUAACUCUUUUAUGUCAUCUGUUAUCGAAAUGAAAAAUCUUACUAUCUAUUUGUAUGCUUUUCUAUUGAUUGAAGCAGCUUAUAACCUGAUAUUCUUAAUUGAUUUCCUGAACAAUGAGUUCAUCUGUCAAAAUUAGAAAAUACUGGGAGGUUCGAUGCAACAUAUGAACCAUUUUUGAGCAUUUUUUAAUCCAUCAUAUAGACAUGCAAAAUAAGUUCUCAUUCUACUUUAUUUAGUUUACAUCUUUUAUAGUUUUUUUCCUCAAUAUUUAGUUUCAGGGGAUCGUAUGAUGGAUUUUACGAGUUUAGAUGAUCGAUCAAUGGGCAUGUUUUGGGUUCUCUCAUUUACUAUGGCUCAGCCAGCUUGUGAAGCAGUUAUGAGCUGGUUUACAUCAGCUGGAGUAACAGAUAUUUCACAAGGAUCUAAUGUACAGUCCAAUGAUAGGAUGAUGAUGAUGCGUGAAACUUUUCCUCUGUCAAUGACAUUACUUUCUGGUUUGUCAAUCAACUUAUGUCUAAAGCUUGCAUUUCAGCUUGAAGAAACCAUAUUUCUUGGCCAGGUAUGACAACAUGAUGUAUAUUGCUUGGCUUAUCUUCUUCUGAAGUAAUAUUUCUUCCCAUAGUUAUCGUUCAUGUGCAGGAUUCUAUUUGUAAUGUAGUACUAACAAGUAAUAACUAAUAAGUACUUGCUAGUUCUUUUCGUUAAACAUGGAAUGGAGAUCAAUUUUCCUUAUUUUGUUAGAGUUGAAUUCUCAAAUCAAAUAUUCACUAAGCUACAGUAAGUAUAACUUGUUUUAGGUCAGAAAGGUAGAAAAACAAAAACCUUGUUUGAAAAUGGUUCUUAUGGAGUGCAUUUAUCACCUAUAACCUUGGAAUCAUCACUUAGACUCUUUGAAGUCUUGAAAUGAUUCACAUUAUUUAGAGAAGAAAAUCCAGUCACCCUGAUUUUAGGUAAAGCCUUUCCAACCAGUACUAGCCUGUCUAUUUACAUACUAAAGAAUAGUUUUGUGAUUAAUGCACAUGAUAUUUUAAAUUUUUAUUAAUGCAUUUCCUAGAACUAGACUUUGCAGAUAACUAGUACGCAGAAUUUGGAUAAAAUCUAAUCGUAAGGAUUAAGACAUCAAUCCUUUACCUCAAAAUUGAAUGUGGAAUCUCCAAAUUGAAGAUUAACCCCAUUUGUGAUCUGCAUCAUUAAAAAAAUUUUCAAACUAAAAUUCGUGUGAUUUGGAUAUGAUUUGUAUGUUUAUCAAAAGUGACACAAAAAGACCAGUGUAAAAUAUGUUUAUGCAUGACAAAUAUAAUCUAGACUGCUUUAAUUAAUGAUUGAACAGAUUGACCGUGAUCUAAAUAUGUAUUGUUGAUCAAAUCAGGUUCUAUUCUAUGUCCAUAAAAUAGCUUAAUUUCUUCUCCACUCGAUGCAUAUGUUAGGGUCUAUGAAUAAUAUGAUUUUUAUUUAUGAUUUUUUUAACAUCAUUGAUCAUAUUCAAUUGAGCUGCUCUUUGUUUUGGUGUCUCCAGGUUUGUUUUUGAGGUAAUAUGAUGGAUUUUAAAUCCUUCUGAUAGGGUUGCUAGAAAUAUAAGCAUUGAAAAAUGGAUAUGGAAAUGAUUAAUUGUACUUGCAUGACCGUUUGAACUUGCUGACUAAUAUGUAGUUGUUGCUUUUUGAAAUAUAUUUCUAGAAUCUUUUCCUUGUGAAUGACUUGUUUGCUGUUCAUAAUAAAUUCAAAUUGUCUUGUUUCUAUGCAGUGUGAUAUUGCAAUUCUAAGAAAAUGAAUCCUGCUUUGAAGCCAUAUGUUGAAGAGGAUUUAAGAUUAUGUGAACUCUUUAACUUCUAUAUUUAUUAAGGUGCAUGAAAAGGUUAACGAGAUUUCAGUUAGAUAAUGAUUCAUGGUUGUCAAACUCUUAAAUGUCCACAACAGUCCUUGAAAACUCAAUCAUGAAUGUCUUUCUUGUGUGCUUAUUGUCUCUGCAAGUAAUAUUUAAGCACUAGAUUCUGUGAAAGACUAUUAGUUUUAUAAAAGGAAAAAUAAUCUCUAAUAUUUUUUUUUUGAAAUUUACAUCUGCAACUGCCUGCUGUUUUGACUCUAGGGUACUUGGGAUUAUUUUCCAAAUUUAACUUUUCCUCAAGAAAGAAAUUUGUAAAAAUUUGAAGAUGAUUUUUUGUUUUUAUUCUCGUUGCUCUUGGUUCCUAUCUCCUCAGACUUUUGUGCUGAAAAAAGAAAUGGUAACAUUUCUUAAAGGUGAAAUUUUAAAUUCCUGGUUUCUAUGAAAGAUCCAAGAUUUAAAAGAUUGCUUGCAAUUGUUCAUACUUUAGUUUUCAUUUUGGGUCCUGUUUGAUAUGUGGCUGCUAUAAUUCAUUAACUUGUUAGACAAUCUCUUCGUAAUUAUAGUUUAAAGACUUUUAAAGCUUUUAUCCCAUUGAAUCAUUUUUAUUGUUAAUUCUGCAUAAACUAUGAUUUAUCAUAGGUUUUAAUUAUGAUAUUUGAAAAACUUAAUUUCUAUGUAUUGUUAUUGACAUCUUUCAUUCUGUUGUAGGCCAUCCCUAGCAUUGCCAUGGUUGAAACAUAUGUCAGAUUGUUGCUUAUUGCACCUCACUCGUUAUUUCGCCCUCAUUUCACGGUACCCUUUUGUGUCUUCUCUAGUCUAUUUGGCAUCUAUCUUUGACUUAAAAAUGGAGUGCUGUUGUCACCCUGAAAAUUUCUAUGCUUGUUUCUGACAUCCAUUUGUUACCUUCUGUUUUUAACUGUUCUUUGAAUUAUAAAAAAACUGAUUAACAUGCAUAUAAGCAACAUUAUUUCGAAGUUGAAGUUUGGAUCCAGUAAUUAUUUGCUAUAAGUUGCAUGACUAAUCUUUGUAAAGUGAAUAAUAUAAGUGUCUUUUCUUCAUGGCAAAAGACUAGUUUAGCAACAUCUGAUAGCUUUUUGUUAACAAAUUGUAUCUCCAUUGAAAAUAUGCUGCCAGGUGUACGUGAAGUGCAACUUAUACUUUUAAGCAAGGUCUGUCGUACCGAAGCGUACCGCCUGUACCGGGCGAUACGUACCGGUCCGACAGGUUAUCGGUAUGCGGAUCGCUCGGUACCGCUAUAGUGCUACAGUGCUCGGUACGCCAUGAUGUAUUGCCCAGUACAUCGGUACCGUACCAUACCGAGCCCGGGUCGAAACGUCGGUACGGUACGGUACAGCGAACCUUGCUUUUAAGUUUUGCCAGUAAAACUUUUGAAAAUUUUGUUGUAACUUGCCAAAAAGAUUAUGAAAUAAUCAGUUAACACAGCAAAAAAUUAAUAAUUUCCUGUUGCUGUGUUUAUGCCAAUCUUUUAAAAGCAGCAACGAAAUGCUGGUGGUACGGUUACACUUGUUUAUGACAGCAUAUACGAUAACUUAUAUACCAUUUACUUUGAAUUUAUCUGAAAUUAAAUUAUAACUAAAUGUUAAAAUAUUGCAAAGGAAGCACAAAGAUACUUAACUGAAGACAGGGAAGAGGCAAUGAUACUGUAGCAAAUGUAGAACAUGAGCUGUGCAGAAAUUUGAACGGAAAGGUGUAAGUGCUGCCUGCCACUGCUUGGUGGGAUUUAUCUAAUUUAUAGAUUAGGGAUUGUUUAAACUAAGGAUUGCUGUUUCGGGUAGCGGAUCUGUAUUGGUCCUUGGUGAACUGGUAUGGACUGGUCAGGUAUGUGUGUACCGACACAUGGUACAUCGAUAUGUACUGAUGAUUCGAAGAAGAAGAAGGAAAAGAGGAAGGAAUAGAUGACAGUGGAGGAAGGAGGAGGAGGAACAGGAGGCUGUGGUGGAAGAGGAAGGAAGAAGUGGACGCGGUGGAGGAGGAAGGAAUGAGAAAGAAGAGGAAGCAGUGUAGGAGGAGGAGGAGAAGAGGAGGAAGAGUACCAAUGGUCGGUAUUAUGCAGCGUCGGAUGGCAAUGGCAAUUCCGGGCUUGUGAAACAUGGGCCGAUAUCGAGAGAGGUCUAGAAUUUGCGAGCCCUAAUUGUAGGAGAACUUUUAAGUUCUUUUUACCUUUUUAAUGGGUUGGACUGGAUGGUUCGAAAUGGGUCGGUACGCAUACUGGUUUAUGCCGGGACUGGUAUGUACAGCCCAUUUUGUACCAGUACGGGUGAAAAAGUCAUUCACUGGUUUAAACAAGAGUGAACAAUGUAGGAGAGAAUUCAUUGAGCUGAGAAGUAGUAGCAGUAGGCUGACCAUUAUUUGCCGCCGUUUACAAUGUUCUGCAACUGCUUGCCCGUUUAAUAAUUACCAACCUUGAGAGAGAUAUGGCAUUUAAGUGUGAGUGAAACUGAAUAGAUUAAUUUACAAAUUUCCUUCUUAUGCUGAAAGCAGAAUUGGCAAACUUGGACAAGUUUGUAAUCAGUUCCAAAGUAAGAUGCAUAUGGGUACUGGAUCCAUACUGGUCUAUGGCAUAGAUAGAGAAGGUGUUGAAAAAGAGCAGGGUAGGAAACAAUGAUGGAGGAGGAGAAGAAGAGAAGGAGGUGACAUCAAAGAAAAGGAAGGAGGCAGCAAAGGAGGAAGAGGAGUACUGAUGAUACGGAGCCAGUGGGUGGCAGCGGAUGUGCAUGAGAGAUAAGCCUGAUGCAGGCGCAGACAACAAACACAUGUGAGAGAGAAGAGGCGGUUGGUCCAGGCCCAUUACCGUUAUUGGUUGCGUAGUAAACCCGGUUCACAGGGUUUACUGAGCAAUCUGGUCACGGGUGGACCGGAAUGUACCAUUCCGCUAGAUUUCUGCCUGAUUUGUCAAGCCAUGGUUGAUACAGUGUGGUCCACUCUGGCUUUCUGGCAGAUAGUGGUUUCUUUCUCAUUUUUAACACUGGGUUAGGCAUUCAUUGGUCUAAACUAGAAUGGAUCUUACUUCUGUAGAAAUAAGCAUGAAUUCAAGCAUGAAAUCAACAACAAAAGUAUUAAUAAGCACAAAAAGUGAUUUAUAAUCAAGGCUUCAAGAGUAAAAUUAACCAAAAAUUUUCAAGUUUAGCUUCAAAUUUACCUUGCUUUGUAGAAUAUGACCUAGAUUCUAUGGAAUGAAAGUUUAUUUAGUUGAGACUGAAGCUUGAUUUGGUUGAGAGGAAGAUUUGAGUGAGACUCCGGAGUAAAGAAAAAUGAGGUGGUUGCUGUUGGUGAGAAAAUGGGCAGGAGGGAUGGGUUGACUUUGGAUACUGGGCUGUAGGCUUACUGUUUGAUACACGUAUGCUUACCAGUUUGCACCUGGUUGAUUUGCACUUGGUUUGUCAUGGUUGGAGUAUCAAUUCUGUGACCAAACUGAUAAAAUACUAAUUGGUAUGAACAAGUCUGACUGGGUUUAAACUUGAUUUGAACUUGUAUAUUAUUUGCUUAAAAUGAGACUGCUAAUGUUAUUAAAUCUGUAUCGGUAAUCUUUACUAAAAUAUUAUUCUGUCUUGAUGAAUUUGUUUUAGUUCUUAUUACAAAUUGAAUUUUGUGAUAGGUCUAUUUAUUUAAUUUAUAUAAUUUAUAUGCUUUAAAUCUCAGCAUGUUCGCAGGUUUUUGUGUAAUUUGUGAUUCAUUUGGCUAUAUUGUUUCACCAUUUGUAUUAAAAGAUGGAAUUAUGACAUAAUAAGGAUAUUUCCUGAGUGGUUAAAAUCCUUGCUAAGCAUAGACAUAUGGUAUAUGGAUUUGUCUUAAAAUAAGAUGAAUGACUACUAUUUUUCUCUUUAACUAAAAAAAAUUCUUUGUUUUUUGCCUUGUUCUGUAAAUUGAGUACCAUAAUUUUAGCAUAUAUGAAACUAGGGAGUCAUUUUUUGUUCAAAUCUAAUGAUAAGAAUGUGGUGAUAAUUUUCACAACUUAAUUGAUUAUCUACCAUUGUUGACACUUUCCCGAGGCCUUCUUGGUUGAAACAAAUAGAUCAACUUAAUCUCACUUUCUGGAUCUGAAAACUAGUUCUUAGUUGCUUUUGAAGUGUUUGAAAUUUUAUUUAAAGCUUUUAUUAGAAAUUUUGCAAAUUUGAGUCAUCUUUCUUGUUUGAUUUAUAAAAAUAUUCUGGAAUUCCUGUUCGAUCUAUAUUAGUUCCUUGAUAAAUCCACUGUAAGUUUUUACCAUACCACAUGACAUAGUAAUUCCUCCAUUUUUAUGUAACUUCUGUGUUUGUUCUUUUAUCUAUAGACUUUGACACAACGAUCUCCAUCUAUUUUAAGCAAGAAUGGUGUGUCUUUAUUGCUCCUGGAGAUAUUAAACUACAGACUACUUCCUCUAUACAGGUGCUACAACUGCCUCCUUUGUAUAAAACAGUCUACUACCAAUGCUAAUUUUAGUAUAUUACGUCUCACUGCAACAACUCAAUUAUUAUUUAGUAUGAAUCAUUUGCGCACAUUGUUGAGUGGACAUUAACAAGUAAUUUAAUAGCAUGAACUGACAUUAUCUUAAGUCAUGUGUGAUGACUGGCAUAUACCGGGAUACUAUACAUUUAUCUUGCCUCAAGAUGUAAUCUUAUACUUUAUUAUAUUAAGUACUACUCGAUCAGAUGGGUUCCCGAAGAUGGGAACAAUUGUCAUGAGUAUGAGCAAGGUUUGACUUACCGGUCCGAGCUAGAGUGUCGGUCAGCCGGCUGCAUGACACAUGCUGCUCCGUACCGGUGUACCAACACAUGGUACGCUGGUGUGUAUCGAUGUUUUGACGAGGAAGAAAAAGAGGUUGAAGAGGAAGGUCUGGUGGAGGAACAGACAAGGAAGAAGGAGAAAGGAAGAAGGAAGAAGAAGAAGAAAGAAAAGGAGGAGAAAAAGUGCAGCAAUACCUGGGAAGCAGUGACGGUGUUGAAGGGAGACUGUAGCAUCACAGCGACGAAGAGGUGGUGCCAUUGUAGCAUUGCAAUGACGAAGCGGCGAAGAGGCAGUGUUGCUGCAGCAUCGUAGUAGCGAAGCGAUGAAGAGGCAGUGCCACUGCAGCAUCACAGUGGCAAAUCAGCGAAGAGGUAGCGUCGCUGCAGCGGCGAAGCGGCCAAGAGACGACACCGUUGCAACAUCGCAGUGGCGAAGAGGCAGUGCCACGACUUCGUACGUGCGAAGAGCCCUAAUAUGCUUUUUUUUUAACGCUGAGAUGGAUUGGGGCCCACCACUUUUUGAUUUUUUUAUUAUUUUAAUGUAGACUGCCCGAAGUGGUCCGUGUAUUGGUCCACGGUCGGACCAGGGUGUACUGCCCAAACCAUACUGUUUUGGGCAGUACAGCACAGAUUCCCAUCUUGGUUCCUUUAUAGACAGCUUUGGUACUACUGUGCUAGGCAGUUUACGAUUGAUACCACCACCUGCUAUCACUGAAUACGAGUAAUAAUAAAAUGCUGUGAUUGUUUUACCAUCCGAAAGAGCAUUUUAUGGGCGGUAUGUACUGGUCCGAGCAUGGACCGAUACACGGACCACCUCUGUUUCAGGCGGUCCAAUGAAAAUAUUAAAAAAAAAAAAAUCAAAAAGUGGUGGGCCCCAGUCCAUUUCAAUGUUAAAAAAGAAAUAAAAAGCAAAUUAGGGCUCACGGAUGCAAACCCUCUUCUUGUGUAUGAUGCCGCAGCCCUCGUUGUUGCCUCUUCACUGCUGUGAUGCUACAAAAGCUUAGCCUCUUCGCCACUGUGAUGCUGCCGCUUUCGUUUCAAUGCUGCUGCUUCUUCCCAGGUAUGCUGGCGUUGCACUUCUUCUCCUCCUCUACUUCUUUCUUGUUCUCCCUUCCUUUCUCCUUCCUCCUUUGUUCCUCCAUCGCCCUUUCCUCUUCACCCUCUUUUUCUUCCUCGUCGAAACAUUGGUACGUUCUGGCAUCCCAUGUGUUGUUAUACCAGUACAGACUGGUACAUACCGUUCUCGCAGAUUGCCAAAAUCAGUCCGGUACCCAAAAAGGCAAACCUGAUAGAAUGAAUAUUGACCAGUUCAUGUUAUGCUGUCCGGUAUCAAUCCUUCGUCAGACUAGUAAAUAGUGGUCUGUACACAUUGAUAUGGAUGGUAUUGAGUUCUGUUAAUUAGAUGUAUGUUCCUUGGAGCAUUUGGUUUAUUUUGUUUUGCAGUUUUAAAUGAGAUAAUUAUACAUUAGAAUAUUUGGAUAAAGUGACAGAUGAACAGUGUGAACAUGGAAAAACACAGAGAAAACUAUUCUACCACCCUCUUUUUGUCUUAUCUUUACUGUAUCUCUUCUGUGGAAGGAGUAAAAAAUUGAUCUGAGUAUUUAGUUCUUUCUAUUUCAAAUCCAUGCGUCAAAGAUAGCUGUUCUGGAACCUUUAAAUUUCUGUGAAGCUAAAUCUAAUCUUUUUUACGACUGAUGUAGAACAUCUGCAUUGGAUUUAAUUAAACUAGCACACAAACACAUGCAUGUACAUUUUUGCAAAACGUGACAGUUUCAAGAAAUUCUAAUCAAUAAACAUAUAUCAAUUAGUUAAAAAUUGACAUUGAUAAAUAUAUUCAUGUUUGUCAAAUAAGAUAUAAACCAGCACUAUAUAAUAAACCAAAAUGAUUGGAAGCAGUUAUUCUGGAUAUUCAGCUAGGUACUUUGCUACUUUUUUCUUGUUAUUCCCAUUGCAAGCCAGGGCUGCUGCGUGGGACAUUGUGACAUAGCAGAAAUUGGAAAUUUAUCCAAACUAACUAUCGAUUGUAGAAUUUUAAUAUCAUAAAUGCACAAACCAAACUAACAAUUGGUGAAGUUUUGAAAGCAUACUGACUACAUAUAUAAGGAUUGGAACAGAGUUCUAGUCCUUUAUGCAUUAUAUAUGAAUGCCUAUAUAAUUUACCAAUAUUUUCACAAUCACUUAGUUCACUCUUUCCAAGUAUUUGCAAUUUAAGAGGUUUAUCUUUUGCAUGAGCUUAAACUGCAGUUAAUAGGUUACAUCUUUUGAACUAUCAAUUAUUUGGCAACUUGAGAGGGUUGUCUGUUGCUUGAUCUUAAACUGCACUUAAUAAGUUGAUCUUCCUAACUAUCAAUGAGAUUUUGUCUUUAUGGCAAGACCCUCUUGUGCGUAAACUUGUUUAUGCCAGGUAUUUGGCCUCAACUUUAUAGGAUUGACUUUGGCCUGCUAGCCCAUGACAAGGAUCUGUUCAAAUUUCUGCUGAUGCCUUUUUAAUCUGGGAUUACAUAACGAAUUGAAUAACUUUCUUGGAUAAGCUGCUGAUGACAAUGUUGGUGAUGGUGACUUAUGAUUUCUGCUUGGCGGCAUUAUUCACCCUUUUGAGUCUUAAUUUUUAAUAGUCAUCUGUUCAUUGGUUCAAUAUAAGUCACUUCCUCUAACUUUUUAUUGAAACUGUAUUGUGAUCAUGUUGGUGUGUAUUGUUUAAGGUAUCAUGGCAAGAGCAAGGCAUUGAUGUAUGAUGUUACAAAGAUAAUCUCUAUGAUAAAGGGAAAGCGUGGGGAACAUCGCCUUUUUAGACUGGCUGAAAAUUUAUGCAUGAAUCUGAUUCUCUCAAUACGAGAUUUUUUUCUGGUGAAGAAAGAAAUAAAGGUUUAACCAACUUUGUUCAACUUACUGCUAUUAAUACCUUUAGAUAAAUGUUAAUAAACCAUAUCUUUCCUUAUUAAGGCUGGUUCUUACAGGGUCCAACUGAUUUCACUGAGACACUUAAUAGGAUUACAAUAAUUAGCUUGGCUAUCACCAUUAAGACACGUGGAGUUGCUGAGGUUGAACACACGCUUUACCUUCAGCCCUUGCUCGAACAGAUUAUGGCCACUAGUCAACAUACAUGGUCCCAGAAGACUUUACGGUAUUUCCCUCCAACUAUUCGAGAAUUUUUGAUGGGAAGGAUGGACAAAAGGGGACAUACUAUCCAAGCAUGGCAACAGGUAUGCUAUUUCAUCUUGAAUUUUCCCUUGUUUGUUUGGGUUUUUUUUUUGUGCGCCUGAGUUUCAUUUCUGAUUUUUAUUAGCCAUCUGCGUGUAUUUAAAUUGAAUUUUAUUACAUAUUUUAGACUUUUAGUGAACUAUUGGUAUAUUGUUAAAUUGAAAUAAGGAAUGACAAUUUUUGAUAAUUCUGUUAUCAUUCAAUUGUUCUCGAGUUGAUCCAUUCAAUGGUUCAAAAUGUAACAAUAUGGCAAAAGAAUUGGAUCCCAUGAUCCCAGUUAAGUAUUUGUUGGGUCCCUUAGGCACUAUUGUACCUAAAAUAGCAAAUUUCUAUUCAUCUUACCAUUUAAUAACUUAUAAUCAGAUCUUGUUAAAGAAAUAUUUGCUACUUGACAAUUUUAUGACUUGAAAAAUCGAUUUCAGUAACGAUGGUCUUUUGUUAUUGAUAAUCACACCUUCAAGGUAUAUAUCUUUACAUCUGGAUAGAUUAUCUGGGAAGGUAAGCGACAAAACUAUAUAAUUUGAUGAAGUCAAAAUGUAAUUCGUUGAGAUAAAAGUUGUUGUACGAACUUGAUACUUAAAUCAAGCCAAAAUCUUGAUGACUAGGUGCUUGAGUAAAGACUGGAGUUAUACAAUUUUUAACAUUUGGUGAAAAAGCUUUCACUCUGCAUUGUUCAUAAUCCAUUUAUGAAGUAAAAUUAUCCACAAUGGUAUUAAGGGUAAGAUUAACCUGGUUAAGGGAAUUUUAGGAGGCACAUGGGUAGGUGCAGGCAGGAAAUCUGGUGGUAUGAUGGUGGCCAGGCCCCUCUAGAGUUGAAAACAUCCAUUCUAACUACCCCUUUGCUGGGCUUAUUUUGAAGGCGACGAGCAACAGAUCUUGCUUAGGCACCUAAGCAAGUGACCAUGACUAUAGUAUCUCCAAGAUGAAAUGAGAUAAAAAUUUAGAUGCUAGAAUUGCUCUUUGAGGAGCUUUAUCUGUUCUAAAAUUUUCUGUUGGGAAGAAUUAAUUUUGCUAAUCUCUGGAGAAAGCCUUAUACAUGGAAAUUUCCAUGGUUAUUAAGUUACGGUUCAGCCCACUUAAAACUAAAAUAAUGAUACAGAGAAUUCCAGCUUUGCAAAUAUACUCAUUGAAGUAGAAAGGUUGAAAAAGAAAACUGAUAGUAGUUCUCGUAGAAUAUGUUGGUUGUUGGAGUGAAACAUAAACCUUGAUCAUCUACUGGUCUACCUUAGAUAAGGAAUUUAUGAUGUACCAAUGAACAUAUUCUGCCAUGUAGAAAGAUCCUAUAUACAUAAAGUUCUUUUAGGUUAAUUUAGCUCUUAUUCCAAUAAAAAAUUGACUCUAUGGAUGUUGCAAUUCCAUGUUCUUAUCAAACAAAUAUUUAUAUCCCCAUAUAAAUUAUUUGGAAAGAACAUCCAAAAAUCAAUGAUUACUUUAAAAUGAGUUGGAAUACAAAAUCCUGUUGAUGGAACUAGUACAAAUGCAAUAUUAUAGUAAAAAGGAUGAGCUAAUGUUUUAAUGAAAUGUGUAUGGAUAUACAAUAGUCAUUUCAUUAUAUUUGGUUACUGGAAGUCAAAUUAUUGUUUGAGUUAAAUGCUUUUUUCGUUAUCUUGUGAUCCUGAUUUGUUAUUACCUUUUAUUUUACAUCAGGCAGAGUCUACAGUUAUCAAUCAAUGCACUCAGCUUCUCUCACCCUCUGCUGAUCCUACUUAUGUUACGACUUACCUUAGUCAUAGCUUUCCUCAGCAUCGUCAGUAUCUCUGUGCUGGGGCUUGGAUGCUUAUGAAUGGUCAGCCAGAGAGCAUCAAUAGUACCAAUCUCGUGCGAUCCAAUUUCAUCUUUCCAUAAUAAUUAUUUAUACAUGCUCGUCUAUAUUUUCCUACUUGGAACUCAAAUCUGUUUGGAUACAGGGACGUGUCUUGAGAGAACUGUCACCUGAAGAAGUGACAUCUAAUAUAUACACAAUGGUGGAUGUGCUUCUUCAUCAUAUACAGAUCGAGUUGCAACAUGGACAUCCUGCACAGGUUCACUCUUUUUAUAAAUAAAAAAUCAUCUGCUUUUCAAAAUUUUGAUAAUGUGUAAUCAUGUUUGUUGGGAUCUAAAUCUGCUGCAGGAUCUUCUAUCGAAAGCAAUUGCAAAUUUUUCCUUUUUUAUUUGGACACACGAGCUACUUCCUUUGGACAUUCUACUUCUAGCUCUUAUUGACCGAGAUGAUGACCCUUAUGCUCUGCGCAUUGUGGUAUGUUUCCUGGAAUACUUCUUGUUUAUGUUAUUAAAUUGAAGAUCAUGACGUGAUUGCCUUGAUAAAUGAAGAAAUUUGUUAGUAAAUGAAACUUUAAUAUAGGAUUUAUUUUUGCGAUAUAUUUUUGAAUUAUAACAUGUAAUGAAAUCUCACCAUCUAGAGUAAAAUGGCCAAAAAUGAUCUUGGUUGACCAUCAAUCCCCAUUUCAUUAUAUCAUAAUUCUUGGUCCAUGUUAGGGGCGGCAAGUCUUAAUGCAAGCAAUCAACCUGACGAUCCAGACUGAACAUAAGAUUAUCCAUAUCACAUUGAAUUUGUUAAGUUCAUGAAUGAUUGUCCAGGUUCAAGUUGUGUCUGGAUGUGACCAACGAAAUUGACUUCAUAGGUGAUCAAUUGAAUGUGUAAGGGUGUCUUAUUUUUCUUGUGUUAUUCAAAGCAUGUUUGGUUCAUCCCCUAAUUUAAUCAGAUGACAUUAACUGAUAGGUUAAUCAUGUCUAGGGUGUUCAAUUUGAAUUUGUAUGGGCUGGUCAAGUCAGUCAAAGCUUCACUUUUCCUGUUAUUAUACUGAUAUGCAUGCUGGAUUAGGUUUAAACCUCAAGAUACUUAUUUAUCAUUUUUGGUUAAGAGUUAUAUCCUACAUUUUGCAUCUCAGCUUGAUACAAAGGUGACAAACAAGAUUGAUCUGACCCAAUCCCUCCUUAGCCCAUACAAAAACUGUACAUGCUCUUGGGCAAUAGGGUCUAUCUUUAAUUUAUCCUAUAAUAAAUCAGUUCAGUUAACAUUUGAGUAUGCAGUAUACAUCUUUUAACAUUACAUGUCAGUUUCAAUCUACUAUCGAUCUUCUUAACUUGAGAAUAGAAAUUUUGCUUAAUGCUAAUGGCAGAGAGGAGAGAACAUGGACAGAUUUGGUCAAAUUGGGAAAAUAUGCUUCUAGUACACCUAGAUGAUGGGGAAGAUAUGGUAGUAGUCAAGCUUUAAUCUUAAAUGAUAGGAUUCUUGCUUCUAAGAUAUGGGUUCACUCAGACAUGUUAUAGCAUCAUCAUACAAUUAUUUACGCAUGUUAAUCUGCGAUGUGGAACAUUGGAUUGUGAUGUUCUGUAGAUACAGUUAUUUAUACUUCACUCCACCUUUUCCUCCUCAUCUGUUGGUCUUCCUUCCUUCUUCCUCCUCCCCUCUUUUCUUCCCCUUUCUCUUGGUUCGGAUGAUAAUUCAUACCGAAUGUUGGGAUGUCAAUCCAUAUCUGAAUUGUACUAGAAAAUAGAUAAAAACAUUUAGAUUUAUUAACUCUGAUUCAGGAACAUUAAAAUAAUUGGAAAUGAAUUCAAGAAUAAAUUAAGUCAUCCGAGCCAGACUUGAUAAUGCUUGACUAUUUCUCCAGAUGACAGGAAAACUCUCCUUUAGCAAAAGGAAUUACUUAAUCUCCUAAUAGCCCAACCAAAUACUUAGUGCAAUAAAAAAAACCCAAAUCAAAACUAUCAAUUGAAAAUCAUACUCCAAUCUAUCAUGCUUCUUGGUCAUGCAUUUUUAAAGUCCCAUACAUGCAACUGUUUUGUGAUUUUUGUUUGACGUGAAGGACACUUAUCAGGUACAUUUUCCUAAAUGAUUUUGUAAUUUAUUUGACUCAGAUAAAUCUGCUUGACAAGCCUGAGCUUCAGCAAAGGAUUAGAGUGUUCUGCACCAAUCAUUCUUCUGAACAUUGGGCCCAUAAUCAACCUCCAAAAAGAGUUGAACUUCAAAAAGCUCUUGGAAACCAUCUUUCCUGGAAGGAUCGGUAAGACUUACUCUAGAGGAAGUUCCGGUGCUUGCUUACUUCAUAGGUCAAUUUUCUAAAUUUAGUCUUCUGAUUGAUAUAUUUAUGUGAGUGUGAGGUUCUUAUUUUCCAAAAUUGAAGGGAUAUUUUCACAAAUUAAACCUUUUUGAAUAUCCCAUUACCGGCUUCUUUGGGCCUGUUCUAGACCCAAGUAUUGGAGCAGAGAGAGGUAGGCCAUUGUCAAUAUGGAUAAUUUGGUAUGAGUUGUUAGGUUUAGUCAUUAUACUGGCAUUUUCUAAUUAUUUGAGGAUUUCUGCUGCAUACUACAGUACGAAUUUCACUACAUUGGUUUCCUUUCUUCUGCGUAUAUCGUUUGCCAUAAAACUUAAGAAUGCCACACUUGCUAUAUCCCUGCUCUGCUUUUAUGAACAUCAUAAGUAUGUUUCUUUUGAAACCCAGAUGCUGUGCCAUUAAUUUAUAUCCUUGGCUUUGCAUACACCAAGUUAACCGGUUCAGCUUAAGUUGGCGUUCUGUCACUGACUUAGCUGGUUUUGCCUAAGUCGUGCGGCACCAUUGCAUGUCCGUCCGCAAAGGUCAACAUCCUUGAAACCUCCCAUGGUCCCUCAGGACCUACAAAAAAAAAACGGGUUAGAGAAAGCGCCUCACUCGGGAUCCACAAGCAAACAUUUCCGAAAAUACUUCAUAGUCAAUGCAAAUUACAAACACACUUUACAAGCUCUGAAUGGUUGCACAACAAAGGGUCAAAAUAGUCCACUACAAACCGAAUAUCUUUCACAAGUGUUCACAUGACACAACCUUUAUUUACAAGCCUAAAACGACCACCAAACCUAACUAAAAUGGGGUUGCUAAGUCUUCGACUGUCCCUUUACAUGCUGUGCAAAGCAGGAACAAACCAAAAGAUACAGACAUACACAAGCAUUACAUCAAACAUCCUGUUUAGAAUUUUGUCCGUGACAGUUCGUUGCCUUUCUUUUAUAUGAAUUGGAUGGUAAUAGUUGUACAAUUAUUAAACUUUUCUAAUGCUUUUUGGCUAAUAUUUACUUCAAAACCUCAUUUACGCUCAUGUCUCAAUUGAAGAUCUUUAUGAAAUGAGUUUGUUCAGCAUUAUUCUAAGCUUCUUUGGAUAUUGCCAUAUAUCACAUGGACCAAGACCAUAUUGGUGGUAAUAUUUGGGUCCAUUAAUGGUCAAAAGCAUUUAAUAAAUACUUGUAGUGUCUUUUCCAUGUUGUUUCGUAUCGAAGCAUAAGCCAACUCUUGGAUAAUGAUGUGAUAAUAUGUCAAAUGAUUGACAUGAUUACAUCCAGAAAUGAAUCUUAUUCUAAUCAUUUACAACAAAGAUUGCUCAAUAUCAACAAAUACAGUUAUUAGACCUCUAGAUGGUGAAUGAAAGGGUGGCGAGAAAUACUUGUUAGAUGAACAGUGUGUAUGUUAUCUGGGAAUAACCAUGUUUGUUUAUCUGACCUCUUGUUUAGCAAGCUCCAUCUUAUGAGCAUCAAUUUGGCACUUUAGCACUUUAUAUGGGUCUUUGUGAUGGAAGGGGGCAAGCCUGCUAUGCAUAGUAGUUUUUCAGAUGCACCUGCACUGUAUAACUCCCAGUUUGGACAUUUCUUUAUCCCUACACUAAUUCACAGAUCUCCUUGUUCUUGUUGUAAAUGAUUUUUUCUUUUGUUCAUGUUAGUUUAGACUCAGUUCCACUACAGCAGCUUCUAACUAGAAGGGACAUGUCUUUCAAAAAGAUGCUAAUGUAAAAUGAUUCCUUUGACUAUGUUAUCACCCAUAAACUGGAUUUUGAUGGACAGAAUACAGUAGAAAGAGGAUCAUUAAAAAAAGUCUGAGACUAUUAUCUUUGAAUAUAGUUCAAAUCUAGAGAUGGUUGUGUUCAGGUUGACCAAUGGAAGAUGACAAUGAGUUAAAUGAGGAGUAUAAACUAAUGGAGAAUACUAGUUUGUGAACUUCUGGGAUAAGAAAUCCAAAUUGAUAUGAUUACAACUCUCAAGCAUGUGAUGGAAACCUAAGAAGAGAUAUGCCAAAAUCAAUGCAUACUUUUGAGACGUGUAAAUGGGAAGAGGGUAGAUGCUUCAUGCACGAGCUCCAUUAUUAGACAAUACUGAGGGAAGAUAGGCACUUACCUAACUUGUAUAGUAUCUAAGAUCUUGUCUAAUACUGGGAUGAGAAUACGUUAAAGUUUAGUGCAUUACUAGGAAACCAUGUGGGUCCAAAUCAGAGAAUAAUUGGAUUAGUGAGAAUUCUAUCCCAUAUAUGUUGCAUGAACUCCAUGGACAAAUGAAGAUAUUAAAAAAAAAUUUCAAUUUGUUCCUUACUAUCACUUUGUCUUGUGGAGACCAUUAUAGUGGUUUCAAUAGUUACAAAAAAGUUUUGUGCUACAAAUUGGAAAAAAGUUGAGAAGAUAAUUUUUAGCUAAUAGUACCCAUCAUGACAUCAUUCGAAUAUAAAUAGCAUCAUUUGUGAUCUUAGUUGUGUACUUCCCAUAAUUCUAGGCUGAAACUGAAGUUUUAAAUAAUAGUUUUAUGUCUGAGUAAAAUGUAGGGAAUUGGUGAUCUAUAGAUCACCAAUGUAAAUCAAUUAUUCUGAAGAAGUUAAAGUUUUCUCAAACACAUUUACUAUAUAAUACUAGGAUGUAGUUGCAAAAGUCUUAUGUGUAUAAAGAUUUAUCUAAGGGGCACAUUCCGGUUGGUUUAUGCAUCUGAUCGUUAUCUCCUAGUUGAGAUUCUGUGGUAAUGAUUGAGAUACAAAUAUUGUAUGGGUAUCCAUGUCACGUGAAUAAGGUCGUAGAAAAAUAAUAGAUUCUAUGUUAAUCAAGGAUCAAUGGAGUUAUUUGGGGUCUUAGAUUGUGAUAAAGAGGUGCACACUGUGGGUGAUCAUGUAGCUCUGCAUCAUAGAAGGUUGUAAAGGAUGGUGUUCAAUGGUAGUUCUUUAGGAAGAUGAUAGCUUUUGCUUCUGAUAUAAAGAACCUAUUUCGUGGAACUAAGGUAAUAGGUGCAUGUUUGCCUGAAUUAGUAAAUAGUAUUAUAGUUAUGGGAAAACCUUGGUAUCUCAUCUUUUGCACUAUGGAUGCCUUGAAAAUCAUUGAACAAUGUAGUGUAAAAGUCGAAGAAAUGUAGACUUGUCUAGGUAUUUUUACUUUAGGUAGUGCCAUCAUAUUCACGGGCCCUUCAUUCUUUGAUUGAAUCCGAUGAAGCUUCAAGGAUGAGGAGCUAAAUGAUUAAACUGUCUUUAUGAUAGCAGACAGAAAGACUAUGGAUCCUUUGAUGCAUUGCACUGUGAAUAGUAAAUUAAAGACAUGAAUAUUUAAGUAGAACUAUUGACAGGCUACAUGGUGUCCCAGCUACUUAAUGUAUGGAACUUUAGUGGAAAAGAGAAGUCACUACAUAGAAAUUGGAAGCCCUCAAGUUAGCAUGUCCGCUUCAAUAAUUUGUUGAAUAUUUUGAAAGCAUGCUGAAUUUCUGAGAGGUAUGAGGGCAUUUCCAGUUAGUGUUGAUCCAUGAAGGAUUCACAUAAGAGGUUAGGUGAAGUGACAUUUCUUUGUAUAGUUAAAAAAAUUGGAGGUCUAUAUGAUUGGAUUGGAAACAUUGGAAACUGGACCAUUCACAGGUCUGGUCCGCUUCCUAGAUAAUUUAAAAAAAAAAAACUGAAUGAACUGGCUGACAUAACUAGUUUUUUGGAUAAUCCAUAUGAUAGGUCAAGUCAAAUAGAAUCAGCCUGCUUUUGUAUCAUUUUCAAAGCUACUUUGAAUUUCUGCAUUUAAAUCUUCUUAUUAUUUGUUUUCAGUGUAUUUAAGUCAAUCUAAAAUUAGGAUUGAGGGGAGAAAGGAAGUGCUCUUGUCUAGGAGCCAAUUGGCCUUUCUCUUUCCUCAUAUGGUCAUGACUCUCCAUCCAUCCCUUCCUUCCCCGUUACCCCUCUCCCUCUAGCACCCCCCCUCCGGCUACCAUUCUUUCCACCUGCCCUUCUCUUUCACCCUUUUCUCCUGUGCACCUCUUCGUCCCACCACCCCUCUCCCUCCAAACACCCCUCCCUCUGAUCUUCACACACAUUCUACUCUAGUCACUUAUCUACCCAUGGUUGCUUCUCUCCCUUCGGCAAGGUCUUUCUCUAAUUUGGAUUUUUUAAUUUGGUUAAAGGUCAUACUUAUAUUUGUUUAUGCUAUCUUUUAUCUUAUUUUAUAAUUUUAUUGCUUUAGAUUUUAAAAAAUAUUUUAUAAUGCUACAUAUAUAUCUUAUAUAUUUUUUUAGUCAAACAUUCGGUCCGACCAAUUGGUAUAUUGGUCCAACUAGUGACCCAGUAUCCUGAGGCUCAAUUGAGUUGUUUUUGGGUUAUGCUUCUUUGCUUGUUAGGAGUAGAAUGAAAACAGUAACAUUAACAGCACAAGCUAGGUUUGUGGUGGUAUGUUGUUACGAAAUGUCCAAGAUAGUGAUUUAAAAAGGCACUCGAGCGAGGCGAGGCAAGGCCCGAGCGCCUCGCUAAACUUCCAGGCGGUGCGCUUUAAAGAGGCGCCGCUUAGGCGCUCGCCCGAGCUCAGGCGCUGGGCGCUUCGGGCGAGCGCCUGUGUUAAACCAGGCGACCGAACCAGGAUUUUAGGUUUGGUUCGGUCUCCGGUGGUUAGUUGGUUCAAUUGAACCAACUAAAAUCGAUAUCAGCUGUCGCUACCCAACCCUAACCGGCUAACCCUACUCGUUUCCGCUGCCGCUCCCGCGCUCGCUACUCAUCGCUGUUGCUGCUCGCAACCGCUGUCGCCGCUCCCGCUGCUCGCCACUGUUGCUACUCGCCGUUGCUGCUGUCGCCGCUCGCCGCUCCUACUCCUACUGCCGCUGCCUCCUUACACUCCCGCUGCCGUUGCUGUUGCCGCUUCCUCUUUUCUCAGUCAGCAGACUCAACACCCCCUCACACUUCCUUCUCCUUCUGUAUGCUGCAACAUUGUUGUAUGCUGUUAACAAUAUGCUGUUAACAGUAUACAAUAUACUGUUAACAGUAUACAAUAUACUAUUAACAGUAUAACAGUAUACUGUAUACUGUUAAUAUUGUUAGGUUUUGAAUUUUGAAACUUUUUGUUAAUGUGACAUUGUGAUUUUUUAUCUUAGAUUUUCUUAAUUUAAUAGCAUAUUUUUAUUUAAAAUUUUAAAUAAUUAUAUUUAUUAAUUAUAUUAUAUAUUUUUAUAUUUUAGCAUCUCGCUUCGCUCGGGCAAGCGCUUGGGUGAGCGCCUAGCGCCUCGGGCGUUUUUGGACCUUGGCGUCUUUUGGCACCUAACGCUUUUUAAAUCACUGGUCCAAGAGCCUCAACCUGAUUACAGACAGGCAAAUUUUGAGCUGAACCUACCAUUUUAUUUUGACUAUGGAUUGUGCUUACACAUCUCAAUCUCAAAGUCUUGUUACAUCAUAAGUUACUCCACUAUGUGUCCACAUCACCCAUAUCAAAAUUGUGUUGAGUUGAUUUCCUGCAGAGGGGUAGAAAAAGAAUGAGAACAUUGGGUUAGUCACUUUUGACUUGUCAUCAACUUUUCAAAUGUACCUACAACAAGAUAUUUCUGUUCUACUAAAUUUGAUGGGUCGAAUUGAAUCUUUAUAAUCACAUACAUGAUCAUUGCAGGUACCCCACUUUCUUUGAUGACAUUGCCGCACGCUUAAUCCCAGUUAUUCCGCUUAUAGUUUAUAGGCUCAUCGAGAAUGAUGGUACUGAUAUUGCUGACAGAGUUCUUAGUUCUUACACUCAACUUCUGGCUUUUCAUCCUUUGAGGUUUUCAUUUGUUAGAGACACUCUUGCAUAUUUUUAUGGUCACCUUCCAAACAAGCUUGUUUUGCGAAUACUAAAAGUACUUGAUCUUUCAAAGGUACUUCACCUUUUCUUUUCAAUAUCAAACCUAUUUUUACUUUUAAUUUAGUGCUUUAAUUGAAGCUAGAUUUUUUUUUCAGAUUUCAUUCUCAGAGUCUUUUCCUCAGUAUAUGGGUUCAUCGAACUCUGUUGGCUGUCCUCCUCAAGAAUAUUUUGCAAACCUUCUACUAGGUCUUGUGAAUAAUGUCAUACCCUCUUUAAAUAGUAAAGCAAAGUCAGACUCCACAGGAGAUCCUUGUAGCAAUUUUGGGCGUCCAGCUGCAAAUAGAAGCCAGGCAACUUCAAUUAAUUGUUCUGAUGGUCAGAAAGCCUUCUAUCAGAACCAAGAUCCUGGGACAUACACACAACUUGUCCUGGAAACAGCAGCUAUUGAGAUUCUUUCUCUCCCAGCAUCAGCUUCUCAGGUAGUAGCUUCACUUGUUCAGAUUGUUGUCCACAUACAGCCAACACUUAUCCAGUCUGGCAAUGGACUUCAAAGUAUGUCCCAUGGGCAAAAUUCUGGUCUACCAACAUCACCUUCUGGUGGAAGUCCUGAAUCCAUGAACACAAGCCGUUCAACUACUUCAACAACUUGGGUCAAUGCCAACAAUUUCGUUUCCAAAAGUGGCUACUCAUGUCAACAGUUGUCUUGUCUAAUGAUACAAGCAUGUGGGCUUUUGCUUGCCCAGCUCCCACCAGAAUUUCAUAUGCAGUUGUAUUCUGAAGCAUCACGCAUCAUAAAAGAUUGUUGGUGGCUUGUUGAUAGUAAAAAGUCACUUAAAGAGCUGGACUCUGCUGUUGGCUAUGCUUUGUUGGAUUCUACAUGGGCUUCUCAGGACAAUACAUCAACAGCCAUAGGUAUGACUUGGGUUAAGUAGGCAUUCCAUUGAUAUUUAACAUUUAAGAUGUUUCAUGUUGAUUGAUCUUGUUUCUUGAUAUCAUUGAUUAGUAUAUACCAUUAUGAUUGCAAAGUGCUUGCCUUGGCCGUCCAACAUAGACUAGCUAUAACCUUCUUGCAUAUCUUUCUAGUGGUGAAAUAAGAAGCCAAUCAAAUGACGAAUCAACCAUCAAAGAUGAUCUCUUGAAUUUUAUUGUCGUGGAGAUGAUUGUAGUAGUUCUCAGUUCCUCAUCUCAUGUAAAGUUUCAGAAAUGAUAUUAAUGAGAUUUGCUAAUUUUUUGUCAGUCAAUUGUUAGAUGGUCGAAACUUCCCAUCUCUAUUAAAAUCCAUUUACUAGUAUUGACCUAUAUAUCAGGCAUGGAAUAGGCACCAAUUAAAUAUAGAAAAUUUAGCAUGAUAUGAACCUUAUCCAAGAUUUCUAAUCUCAGAGUGCCAUGUAUCUCCAGUAAAAAAUGUCAUAUACAUGCUGAUCAAUCUAUGCUGGUCUGUGGAAACUUAUGCUCUGUUGGAAUGCUAGCUGGGCUCUAUGAGAAGCUUGUGUUUGCAUGUCCUUGGCGAGGAAAUGAACCUGUGUCAACAUCAUGCUUGUACAUUGAAAAUGACCAAGACUGACGUCCAUGACUUGGCUCUCCAUAUCAAAUGAUCUUUUAUCAUUUUUGGUCUAUAAUUAGAAAUUAGCUUUUAGAAUGUUGCAAUUAGCUUCAAGACUUAAAUGUAAAUAAUAAUAUCUCUAGUUUCUAGGCUUUGCAGGUCUGCUAUUGUUCCUAUUGGCUAAUCCAAAUUUGGCAAGCCUUCUUUAGAUGUCAUAACUGUGAAGUGAUCAAAAUCUUAAUAGGCUGAAAUCUUAGUUGCAUAAUUCACAAGAUCAGUAUUGGGAUCAUGAGUAGCUGGGGAUCAUACAAUUGAUAUUGGUGGUAUCACUUGGAUUAAUGGGAUCAAUGUCAACUGAAAAGUUAAAAAAAGAUAAAAAUAAUUAUUAUUAAAAUAUGGAAUAUUAAAAUAAUACAUGCUAAAAGACUAUAUUAUCAUCAUUUUUCAUAAAAUAGCUAUUUUUCGUAAAAAUAUAUUGGUCUUGUAGAAUGUAACAAUGAAAUUGAUUCAGAAUAUUUAUAAAAAUAACUAUUGUUUAAAUUGUGAAUCCUAUGACAUUUGGUGUGAUGAUGGCAUUCCUACCUUAUGAGGUUUCUUUUGCUUCAUGUUUUUUCUCUUCUUCCCCUCUGCUUUCUUCUUUUUCUUGGUCUGAGGUCAUCAAAUAAUUGACCAAAAUUGGUCAACUCUGAUUGAGUUUGAUUGGUUCUAGUUUAUUCCAACCAAAUUCUAGUCAUGAGGUCGAAAGUUCAACCGAAUCACAUCAAUCUUUAAUAAGAUCAAUAUGGAUCAGACAUACCAUAUUGUGAGCAGGCAAUAUUGCAGACUAUGCUUCAUCAGUGGUCGCUUCACAAUGUCAUCUUUUUGCCCUUCUGUAUCCUUUCUGCAACAAUAGCAUAUAGCAAAAUGGUAAAGUGUUUACUAACCCCCUGCAGAUCGAGUCUCUAAUCCAUCCCGUUGGAAUAUUUCACCUAUUGUCAAUUAUUCCAGGCACACUGGAAAACUUUGAGUGGCAUGUAUGCUCCAUCUUAUGGCCUGUAAUACAUGAUCAACCUACAACUCUUUGCAGACUAUCCCAUGCCUUCCUAGCAUCAAGGUUUUAAAUACUGGAUUGAUACAAAUUUUGGCUACCGGUAGAUCAGUAUAGUACUACUAUACCUGGCAGUAUACUGAACUGCACCAUCAGAUAUCAAUGGAAAAAAUAAUAAAAAGUACAUAUCGACUGGACCAACCUAUAUGGUUUAAUAGCAGUCUUUGGGCAAAUUAAUAAAUAUUGAUUAAUACUUAUUGGUUGGGAUGAUAUUUGAAACCUCCAUAGCAUUAUAUUUUGUGCCUCUUUAGCUUAUUAUGGAGGAGAAAGGAUUUGAAAUAAGUUAUUAUUGACAUGAAAACAUUAUCAAGAUGGUUGAGGCAAUUUAACAUUUUACUUGCUGCUUUUCUAGAUUUUAUGCCAGUUUAUAGAAGGUGUUCGGAAGCCCCCAUAGUUUAAUUCCAGAGUCACAGAUCGUUGUGUUCUGCAUGUCUGACUCUUGGCAAUAUGGCUUUGACUUUGAGCAUGGUGCUAUAAUUUCCCUGACCCAUUCGUAUAAACUUAUGGUUUACAUAGCACUACAAAUUACCAGCAGAGGAACACAUGCACCCUUGCCAUGCAAACCCUGAUAUGAUGUGGAGCCAUGCUACAAUUUUGCUUGUAUUUGCUAAACAAAUGUCUGGGACUUAACUCCUAAGAAAUACUUGCAUUGAUCCAUAUCUUUUUUCUUACACUGGACUAUUUAAAUCUUCUCAGCUGUUAAACUUUCUCUUUAUUAACCCAACGUUGCUUUUUACCUUUCUGUGUCUCAGGAAAUAUUGUGGCACUGCUGCAUUCAUUCUUUAGCAAUCUUCCACAUGAAUGGCUAGAAUCAACACAUACAAUAAUUAAGCAUCUUCGGCCAUUGAAUUCUGUUGCGAUGCUAAGAAUAGCUUUCCGCAUAAUGGGCCCUUUACUGCCUCGUCUUGCCUUUGCUCGUCCAUUGUUCAUGAAGGUACACAUAGAAUUAUUUGUAUGCACAUUUGUGAAUAUAUGUAUUACUAUUUUUGUGUUAAAAGUUGUGUUUUGUAUCAAAUCUACGAGGGACCAUAUUGGCAUACCAUAUUAAUCCAAUUGACUAUUAGAGUGGCACCAGUACUUGAAAAUUCUUGGUUUUGUUACUUGUUAACAUUUAUAAAUGCUUUAACAGUGUGCCACUUGUUGCAUUCUAUUAAAAGAUCUGAUUGACAAACUACUUGUUUUGUGUUAUCCUCAUUACUAUGUUAACAGUUGCAUACUCAGAUGCGAUCACUGACUAUUAUUUCUUUCUACAAAAAGGGGAUUCUGCCGGUUAAGAUGUCAUUUUGACUUUCUACAUUGCUUUAGUCUUUAUGACCUCUUAGACAAAUUGGAAAACUAUAUAACGUAUUAUAUGAUGCAGGCACUCUUUUCCAUAUCUUGUUCUGUUUAAUCUAUAAUGUCCAUUGAAGUUCUUAUAAUUGGAUGAUACUUGUCCUUUGUCGACCCUAACAUGGACCACUUAUAUCUUGUUCCGUAGACACUAGCUCUGUUAUUCAAUGUGAUGGCUGAUGUGUUUGGAAAGAAUUCACAGCCUGCAGUUCAUGCUGAAGCAUCAGAUAUAAGGGACCUUAUUGACUUUCUGUAAGUUGUAUACAUGAUCUCUGAUUUGUAUGUCAACAUAUAUGGAUUAUAUUUGCAUGUGAAUAAUAAUCUCUUGUUCUUCUAACAUUUUGUGAAAUCAGGCACCAUGCUGUCAUGUAUGAAGGACAAGGAGGACCUGUGCAGAACACCAGUAAACCCAGAGUGGAGAGCUUGACCUUGUGCGGCAAAGUCAUGGAACUUUUGAGACCGGAUGUUCAGCAUCUUCUUUCACACUUGAAGACUGAUCCGAACUCCUCCAUUUAUGCAGCAACCCAUCCAAAGCUAGUAGUACAAAAUCCAACACAAACAAAUUUAUGAUCGCUGAGAUAAUCGAGUUUAAUCUUUUCAGAUUUUUAAGAUACAUAGAUUGUUUAACUACGAGCGAUGGAAAAGGCAUUGAUUAACUGGAAUUUUAGAACUGUAGAGCUCCUUGAAUGGUUCUUUUUUAUUGCUAGUUCUUCCCUGAUCAUGGUAUCAUCCACCUCUAUCAGUAAGGUAUGUAAAGGGAUUUAUUUUUGUGCUAUUAACUCAGUGGUGACAAAAAGCUUAAAAUAGUCUAUGUCCUGUUAGAUCGAUACUGUAAUUUGGAUGUGUAUUGUUAAUAAAGAUGGAUGUCAGUGUAUUAAUAUCGUGCUGUGUUUCAAUGCUGUGAUUUGGUUGAAUCAACUCAUUGAUUGGUACAACCGUGAUUUGAUUACCAUCUCGCUUCAUUGUUUGUAAAAGCAAUCCUGAAAAAGGAAACAACAGUUGAAGUAACCAUGUGCAUCGACCUGCAAAAAGGGGUUUCUUCAAAACGCAGUUAUGUGGCGGUUUUGUUGUGUAUGUUAAUGUGCAGGAUGGAGACUGUACCUCAAAUUCAUGUUGUUGGAAAAAUGUAUUCGAGUUUGGACCAAAGAGACUAUACUCUUUCUCUUCUCUUCGAAGCAAGAAAGUAGAAUUAAUUCAAACCCUAAUCUGUUCCUGCCGCUAUAAUUUUGUUCGCUUUAGUUAGCGGAAUCUUCAUCGUCGUCGCUGUGGCACGCCGAGCCUAAGCUCGAGUUGGGCCUAACCCAGACUUGAUGUGGUCAGGGUCAUAGGUCCCGUUCGGCUUUGAGAUGCGUGUUUGAUGCUUUGAAAUUCGUGAUCUUCUCAUCGGUGUCUCAUGACGAACCUUAGCUUUCACACUCGAGACGUGAUGAUUUAGUUGUAGCUUGUGCUCUUAUCACAACUAGCUAAUCCAAAUAUAUAUCGGUGCUUUAACUUAAACCCUUUCUCGGCCAAAUUCCGCCGCCGGUAAUCCUUUCCCACUCUCGCAGUAAGUGUUCCUCCUCUCCACUCCGCUGCGGCUGCGGCUGCGGCUGUUGGAUGGAUGUAGGACCUCCGGUGUGGCAGUUUCCGGCUGGCGGGUGACUGAUGGCCUGAAAACUCCUCCCUUCCUUUCUCUAUUUGGACUCUGCUUUUAUACAACACUUUCCACGGCUUCUUAGUUUGGAGCCAAUUUCUGUCGUUCUACACUUGGAAACGCAAACACAGUUGGUUGAUUACUAGCCGGUGGUAUACCAGAUUAGGGAUUGCUUAGUGCGGCAGCAGAUGCCCAAAUUAAUGGAAAUGUGAUUUACCAAUGAGUUUCAAAUAUUCUGAUAGGUUGCUUUGCUUAUAGUGGUCACCUUUAAUGGUUGUGUUCCGAUUUACUUUCUCCGAACAGGGUAGUUAUGGACUUUCCUGCUCUAGCAAUCAAACUAGGAUUAUAUGACUCUGAUAGUUGCUUUUACUUAUAGUGGUCACCUUUAAUGGCGAUUGCAGGAAAGUAGAUAUUCUGAUAGUUUUCUUUUCUCGGUCAAAUUCUUCUGCCGGAAUCCUCCGGGCAGCCAUAGUGCUCCUCGGUAGUGACCAUGACCAAUGGUUUUAUUGCAAUGUUCAUUACCGUUGAAAUGUUAAUUUGGCUUCCUUCAUAUGAUUUUAGUUCUGCUUCUUGAUAUAUUUUUUUUUAUCAUCAAGUCUUCACAAAUAACAUUAUUCUUAGACCUUUGAUUUGAUAACUAAAUCCUUGAAUGUCUGAUUUGUAUUCUUCAUUCUAACUGCUGUGUCAUUUGUAUUUGCUUAUAUUCUUUAUUUCUUGGACUGGUUUUAAAGUGUGAAGUCUUCCGUUGUCAAUUUCCUCGAUCCAAUCCCUUCUACUCUGAUGAACCACCAAGACAUUAUGGCACUGACAAACCAUUGAGGGUUGGAGGUAAUUGAAUUUAUCUAAUAUAAUUGUUUGAGAAAAUAAGGAUCAUAUUCCUCUGUUGAACUGUCAAGUAUUGCUAAAAAUAGCUUCGCUAGAUGAGAUUUUCAUUUCUUAAAUUACUCCAAACAAGUGAACUCUUCUAGAUUGAAUAUUUAUAUAAGUAUAUAGGCGAUGACCUGAUUCAAAGGGAUCUAUUGCCCUUGAACAAAAAAAAAAAAAGAAAGAAACUUUUUGUGAAACCUUAAGAGGAAAAAAAGACUAUAUUGGUUUAUUUUAUGGACAAGCAGCAUUUUAUUCUAGAACAGUUCAGUGAUCACAAGAUCAACAAGGAUCCUGUGUUAGCGUUAAGGAACUCUACUUAACGAAUUCUCCUUAAUGGUUUUGAAACCAUGUUCAGAUCAUCAUGUGUGAACGUUUUUAUCUGCCAAUGCAACUAUGGUAAUAAAGAUGUUCCCUCAUAUCUAGAAUGUUGCUUGGUUGUAGGGAGACUUUUCAACUGAUGAAAACUAUUGCAGCUAGUAAGGAACCUUAAUUAUUGCAGAAGGUCUAACAAGAAUAAAGCAAUUGUUGAUUAUAAGGAAUAGCAGCAAACAAGAUCAUUAUAGAUAUAAUCUUCUACCUUAGUUGGAUCCUUUUGUUUUUAUAGAUAUAGCUGAUUAUAUUGAAAAAUUCGUAAGCUUGACAUAGUCAAUCAAAUAACUCAUAUAAAAUUCAUUUUCACAUUAUUUCUAAGUAAUUUCAGCUUGUAAAAAAAUUUCAGUGCAUAUAACAUUCUUAAGGCUUGCAUUUCAAAGUUGAAAUUCAUAGAUAUCUUGAAAAUGAAAUAAAUAAAGAAUUAAGUUUAUUUUAUCACUGGAUAAAAUCCAAUUGUAAAUAUCUAGAGACAGCAGAGUAAGAUCAAAAAAGCAAGGGUAGAUCCAAUCCCUUUGACGUUAUCUUGAUGAUUUUGUGCCCAUUCCUGGUCCUACUGACCUUACACCUGUCCUGCCUGUAUUGCUACCCCUAUAUUUCAGCUUAUCUUGUAUCAUUGGCUUUCUUGAAACUGUCUUUUCAAUUAAAUCCAACCCAUUCAGUUGAUUAUUUGGUCAAACUUAUUAACAAUGCAGUUAUAGAACAAAACAAUUAACACUAAACAUUUAUGAUAUUGACUCUAUGAAAGUUCAUAUUGAUUUUAUACUUAAUUUUCUUAUAUUCACUGUUACCAUCUCUGAGGAUGGUACAAGUUGUUUUGAGAAUAGGUGAUUGAUAUAGGGUUUAAUAUUCACCAUAUUGGUUUUUCAUAAAAAGUUGAUCUUUCUUUGCUUUGAUGUUUUUACUAGCUGCACUUUGCUCUUGGUGUGGCACAUGGAAAGGGGAGAAAGUUUGCAGCAGGUGUAGGAGGGCAUGUUACUGCUCUGAGAAACAUCAGGUGAUUAAAAAUAAUAUUUUUCUUUUCCUAAAUUUUAUGCUUGAUCAUAACUUAUUUCUGUCUUUGGAUGCCAGGCUAUGCAUUGGAAGUCUGGACAUAAAAACCAGUGCCAUCAGAUUAUUACUAACUUAGAAUCUUCUAGUGCUAGUGCUGGUUCAUCUAGAGCUAGGCUUCCUGCUACAGAUAAAGGUCAGAUCAGUUGAAAUGAAUUACGAAAAUAACUUAUCUAUCAUGGUCGUUUUGGCUGCCUUCAGUACAUUAUGGUCUGAGUAUGAGAUUAUUAUAGAAGGUGAAAGUGCUUUUUAUAUGGAGACUUCUCAAGAUAAUAGUUGUGCCACAACAUUGGUGCCUAAAUAUAUGAAAACAGAUGACACAUAUCAGUUCUUGCUGGACAAGUUUGAGGUUUGUCCUUAUUGCCAUUGCAUUAUUGCUUGCUCUAUUAAGAUACUAUGUAUUUGAUCUUGGGAUGUUGUAAUGUUGUGAAGGCUGAUGAGAAUAAAAGGUACCGCCGGCAUCAUUUCAAGAACGAAUGUCUAAAUGUCCCAACCAAGUGUUGAGGUGAGUUAAAUUUGCUCAGGAUGAAUCCUGAUUCUGCACAGUUAUCUAUUCUUAUGGUCUGCCUGAUAAGUAUGUCUGUGGCAUAAAUGUUCUUCGUCCUUUAAAAGCAGGACAUAUGUUGAAUGUUUAAAAAAUGGAGACUUCCAUUGGAUUUCUAUUUAUUUUAUUUUCAUGUGCUACACUAUCACUAUGAUCAAGAAGUGAUCCUUUGUUUCUGAAAAUCAUGCAAUAAAAACUGAAGGAUUUCUGUAUAUUGAACAGAUACUGUCGAGGUCUGAUGGCAAAACCACUGUGGCCUUUGCCUUUGUCGAUUGGUUGCCCCACCAAAGCCAAUAUUAAAAAAUGCAACUACUGCAAUGGUCCUUUAUGCUAUGAAUUUCAGGUUUGAUAUGAAUCUGUGCUUUUCUCUCUAAAUCUUAUUAGCUAUUGCUUAUUUCAGAUAAAUAUGCAAACAUUAUUUAAUUAAAUUGUCAUGAAAAUUUCAUAUUGUUAAGUAACAUGGUACUCGAUACUCAAAUAGUAUUCCAAAUUUUUAAGAAAUGACUGAAAAGUAAGAUGAACAACAUUUACUAGUUGAUUAGCAGAAGAAUCAACCUGUUCUGAUAGAUCAAAUGGGUAAGAAUUGGAACCGAAUGAUCUAUCUAUAAAGUGGAGGCGAAUAUAUGCUUCUAAGCAUGUUGAGGUGGUGCAUGUUUCUCCAUUUGUUCAGCUGAGAUAUCACACCUAUGCUUGUUUAUGUAUAAUGAAGGAAACUGAGAUUGUUGUCAUCUUUCUUGUAUAACACAUCUAUAUAUCAGGAAGUUAAUUUCUUUUAAAAUUGUUCCAUUUGCAGAUCAUGCCUCAGUUACUUUAUUACUUUGGUGUUAGAAAUGAUCCUGACUCUCUUGAUCGGGGAACCGUUGCCGUGUAUUCGUGUUUUGCCUCAUGCGAAUCAAGUAUUAGCUGCAAAGAGGAAUUCACAUGGGUUCAGUAAUAGCCUAGCACACCAGUGACUUGAGGGUGCUCCGACAUAUAUACCCUCUAUGAUUAGAAUUCCAGGUUCGAUGAACUUGUUUACUUCCAUGUCCUAAUAGAUGACUCUUUUCCUUAUAUAUGUUUUAUAGGAUUAAGUGAGUAUGGAAUUAGAGUCGAAGUAUGGCAACUGAUAUCAAACUUUCUGAGAAGAUACUUAGCAUUACACUAGUUGGUUCACCGCUCAUCAAUAGAUUUUGGAAAGAGACACUAGGUGCUGCAUCAUAGGGUCAAGCCUUGCAUGGCGAUUGGACACCACAAAUAGGGUGUAAGACCCAUUCAAGCUAAUUUGAGUUUGUAAAAUACCAUAGAGAGUAACCAUCCAUCAUAAUGCGAUUAAAAUAUAACUAGCAUUCAUGAUACAGUCAUGAUAUUAUUUUUGCUUCUAUUCUCAAAUGAGAAGGUGUUAAUUUCAAGGUUAAUUCACACAGUUGGUAGAGUUGGUAGAUUGUUAUUUUUCUCAAAAUUUUGCCUCCUAGCUUGAUAAUUGUAGUUGUUCGUGCUUCAUGUUUUGGUAAGCCACAGAUCUGUAGGUAUGACUGCUCAGUUUCUCAUAUUCUUGACUUGUCAUCUUUAUGAGGUUGUUGUCAAGGGAGAGUGGGACUGAAAGGCUUCCUCCCUCUGUUUUGGCUUCUGAAUCAUGUUCAAGAUUACACGUGCAAUUCACAUGCUUCUUUGUCAAGUUUAUUGUGUCAAAAUAUGGUUGCUUUGCAGUGCCACAGCAUUUUCGAAUUUAUAGUACAAUAUAUUAAUCUUAUUAUUAUUAUUAUUAUUAUUAUUAUUAUUAUUAUUAUUAUUAUUAAUGUGAGCGAUGUCAACUAUAAUUAUCGAUACAUGAUUUGAUGUGAAAAGCACCAUCGACUGCUAAUACUGUCAACGAAAGCCCUUCAAAUACUGACCCGAAGACGUGCAUAUUUAUUGCAGCAAUCGAUUUCCAAUUUAUUGCACCCGUCACCGAACCUGAAAGCUCAAACUACUGCCGGCCGCCGGCACCCGACGUCGACGCCACCGGCUCCGCCACACCCUCCUUGGGGCUGCAUAACCCCACCGCGUGCCGCGCCCAAAACCCGCCCCCCGCCUUCGCCCUCGCCGCCCGCCUCCUCUCCUCCUCUGCCGCCGCAGCAGCUGCCGUCUCGCUCCGUUUCUCCUGACGGCUCCCGACGAUGAGGCGGUCCAACUCCCUCCUGAUCCACUCGAUCUCGUAGGCGUCGAGCAGUGGUAUGACAGGCCUAGGCUCGGCCGUCGAGCUCUCACCACCAGCAGCGCGGUCGUCUAGCAAGCGGCGAGACGGCCGCCAGGCCGCUUGUGCCUCGCCGCAGCCGGUGCGGUGAUGGCACCGCGCCCGAUCUGCCGCCUUCGCCAGUGGCAGCAGCUCCGGGGCAGGAGCCACCGACGAAGAAGACACUGCGCUUGUCCGUCGCGUCCCUCGUUCCAUGUAACCAAAGCUUCACAGAGAGAGAGAGAGAGAGAGGUCUUAAGGAACGAAGAGAAGGAUAGCUUUCGCUGGAUCUUUGUUAGUUUUGCGUGCACCAAAAAGAAGAAGAUGAAGUGUGUGCAGUGGGUCAAAAGAAAGACUUGUACAUUUAUUUGAGCCCUAUCGCCAUUCUCUUUCCAUGUGCUUAUUGUUUUCUGUAAGAAGUUUCCUCUACAGUUGACUUUGAGCAGAGAAUAAAACAUGUUUUAGUAGGAUGCCGAUGGAGAUCAACAGGUGGAACGAGGUACGGCGUUCGAUCAGAUGCCCCAAGGUUUUCAUGAAACCAUGGGAAGAAGGGUAGAUGGAUGCAGAUUCUGUGCAUGUUGCUACUCACAGUUUGGUGACUCACCAGGGAAUAAUGCAUGCAGAAGCAAAGGGGAAAGGCCGAGCUUGCAGCAGCGCUGACUCUCUUUCUGCAGUCAAAAUAUUAGGGUUUGGCCAUGGAGGUGUGGUGGUGUUGUUGUUUCCCGGUUGCUGCAAUAUUAAACUCGCUGCGUGUUGCGGGUUAUGGAUAUUGUACGUGAAAUAAUCCACUAUGAUUCAUGCACGUAAUCCAAGGGGCGGAGACGGCUGCUGGGCCGUUGGAUUUGGAACCAAGAAUCUACGCGUAUUGCUCUUUUUUAGGUAAAGAUUAAUUCAACCACCCUACGGGCAUGAGAGCCUGAUUUGACCCGUAGAACGAAGGAUCCAUCCAUAUUGGUAUCGGACUUCCGUUCAUACUAUCGGCACAUGCAAAGCUUUUAUUAUGAUUUAAAUAUGCAUGAUGAUACUACGAGACACAAACACAUGAUGAGAUGUCGGUAAGGCUUUUAUUAUGAUUUAGAUAUGCAUGAUACUAUGAUUCGUUAGAUCAUCGGACCAUUAUUUACCGUCCGAUCUAGACUUGAUAGAACAAUGGAUGCGAGAUAUAGCACAAAAUUAGCCAAUCCAUGAGCCGACCUAUUUAUAUUUUUUAGAAUAUAACACCAUAUGUUUAGAGAAUGAUGAUCUCUAUUUUGUUAUAUGGGAUACUAAUAAUAACUGAUCUCGUUUCAUGUCAACCAACCAAUCCACCCCCAAAGACCUGCUACCUCGAAGAAUGAAAUAAACAUUGUUGAUUAGGAAUAAUAUAUGUAUAUGAGAAACUUACCCACCAAUAUAACCCUCUUUAUGCAAAAUAAAUAUCAAAUUUCUAAUACUAAAAAUGUCCCUAAUGUCUAUAUUUGAAUCCAAAUUAUUUGAUCUAUUAAAAUCUUUAUCGAUUAAACUAACACACACUAAGUCAUAUUCAUCUAAUAUGUAACAUCUCAUAAUUUUUUUCCAGGUUGGCUCGGUACGAUACGAUACCAACGUACCGAGUGGUACAGCAGGACGAACCGAACGGUACACCCUGAUAUACCGAACAAUUUUAUAUAUCCUGAUAUAUCGAACAAUUUUAUAUAUUUUCUUCAUACUAUAACAAUACUGUAGUGUAAUACUAUACUGAUACGUACCGCUUAUACCGGACAAUAUCAUUCGAUACUACAUACCAUGAUUUUUUUGUCACUCAAUGGCAGUAUUUUCUGGGUUUAAGAUAUGAUACACAGCAUCAUUAAUGUCAUCAACUUCAAGAUCAUGUCAUUAUUAAUACCCUUUCUCAUAAUAAUUUGGCGAUCGUUCAUAGAAUGAUACCCUUGCAUCAGGAGUGUCGUUAUUUUGAUAUCAUGUUUAGCAUUGUACAUCUACUAUUUGAUGGUGGACAAUAACUAAUAUAUAUCAUCUAAAAUACCGCACCACACUCAAUGUAGAUAUACCGGCAUCUCAAUUCAAAUAUAAUUAUUCACGAAAUAAUCCAAUUUCAAAAGGGCUACUCAAGAAAUAUUCAAAUUAUCGCUCUUAUAAAUCAUCAAAUACUAGGAAAAGACAAACUAGUGAUUAAUAAACAUAACAAAAAGGAUAAACAAAGACGAAAAAGAAAAUGUGGAUUUCAAUAAACAGCAACAACAUGCAAAUUAUUUAACUUGUAUAAUCUGAAUUUUUUUUCUUUGUUAAGAGUACUAAUAACUAAGUUUGGGAAAAAAAAAUAUAUUCAAGUUAAAUAAUUUGCAUGAGACAAAAUUUGCGCCUUGAAGGCUUACCAUUUCUAAUCUUGAAGAGUUCUAACACAACAGAAAAGCAUCUUAACCUUGAAGGAUUGCACCACCCUCAUUGUGAUGGUUAGAUUAGAACACCACAAACUUAGCUCGGAGAGUCGAAAAUGGUUGCCUUUUCCUGCUGUCUUGGUGUGCCGAGUAUUUCUUGGGUUGGAUCACGUAUAAAACAUUCUCACUGAGAUUAACACUUAGCAUGAUAAAGCUAACUGUCCCAUUAUUUGCAGAAGCUCUCUGGCUAACCUGUCAUCACAAGGUGACCAGCUACAGCAGAAAUAUACUACUGAUUCACCUACACCAUUCUCCUUUUUCCUAUAGGAACAAUGUUCAUUUGAACAAACACAGACAUGAAAGGUAUGCAACUGCAGAGAGUCAGAGGCAAUUUGGAUAUCUUUGCAUUCAGUUCUGGUUUCCAAUUCUGACAGCAAAAUGUGAAGGAGAGUAUUGUUGGCUGUGGCAAGCCUGUCUUCUGUUGCCAGACAUCUCGGCACAUCAACCCUCGUAAUAGAACUCUCAUGACAGUGUGUAGUAUUUGCUUCAUCUGAUAAAUGCUCUGUCCUAGUAACUUCCACAGGACAGCAAAAAGCAAACCUGACUUGAUGCUCUAUCACUCCGAGGGUACGAAGAAGCUCACUCUCAUGGAUGAGUUUUGCAGUUUUGGUUUUCUCCAUAAGAAGGAUGCCUUCUGCUGUUGUAUCCUCUCUUGCCAACUUUAUUAUUUCAUUAUCCUUGGAACUAGAGUCUGAAAUGGACACAGAGCUGUUUUUUACAUUACUGAGCAUAGCACUGGAACAGCUCCUGAUGAACUUCUUUGUGACAUCAAUUUUCACAUGUUGGGUUGUAGAAAUCAGCAGUUUCUCAUUGUUUGCCGGAUAAUAGCACUGGAUUCCCAGCUCAGAUUGGAUCCUUUCUUUUAGCAAGGCCAUUUUAGGCCUUUCUCCAUGCACAAGUAUCACAUGUUUUGGAGACAGAUACUCGAUGAGAUCCAUGAUCCCUUUGGCAUCAGUGUGAGGACUAAAAGACAGCUGAUGGAUCUGCAUAAAAGGAACAUUAAUAUGAGAUCAUCAAAGCAUUUAAAGGAAAAGAAAAUCAAUAAGAAUCCAAAGGCAUCAGGCAUCAGGAACAACAACCGGAAUAUUAUGCUGAAAAAAAGAAAAGGUUCUCACAAAGGUGCCUAAGGUGAACUAAACUUUUUUUUCUCACAAAUAUCCGAGCUAAGUAUCAAAGUAUCAAUAGGGCAAACAAAUCAACAAAUAGG
rnacentral:lncRNA from 1 species